GGAUUUAAGCAAGUUGGUCUACCUCCAAGCAAUUGUUAAAGAGACAUUGAGGUUAUAUCCCGCAUUUCCACUUUCAGGACCACGCCAAUUUAACCAAGAUUCCAUUUUAGGUGGUUACCGUAUCCCAAAAGGCACUCGUCUUGUGUUGAACCUCACUAAGAUCCAAAGAGACCCAAGUAUAUGGUUGAACCCAACAGAGUUUCAACCAGAAAGAUUCCUCACUACUCACAAAGACAUUGAUAUGAGGGUCAAAAAUUUUGAGUUUACACCAUUUGGUGGUGGAAGAAGAAUUUGCCCUGGUGCAACUUUUGCCCUUCAAGUGCUACACUUAACAUUAGCCAAUUUCUUGCACAAAUUUCAACUUUCGACUCCAUCAGAUGCAACAGUUGAUAUGAGCGAGAGCCUUGGGAUAACAAACAUCAAAUCCACUCCACUUGAAGUUCUCAUCUCGCCACGUUUGUCUUCUUGUGAUCUUUAUGAGUAAAACCAAUGAAUGUUGAGAGAGACUAUUUCAAGAAACCUAGUAUUAUAUAUAGGAAAUAAAAAUACAAAUAAAAUUUGUACAUGUGGUACAAGUUUAAAAUAAUAACUAAUGAGUACUAUACUUUUUUAAUUUUAUCUUAGCUUGAAUUUUGGUGUUUUUUUUUUCUCCUUGUAGAAGAAAAAGUGGCAUAUAGCAUUUUUCUUUCGGUAUAGAUAGUGAAAAAUAAGUAUGCACUUGACCAUAUGCAUACGUGUGCAAUAGACUUAAUGAGUUGCAAGUUGAUAAUUGAUCUGUCUUUUGGUAGAUUUUAGUUGCCUUCUUGUACAUCAUUAAAGUAGAAGAUAAAGACGAAAAUUAUAACUUCACCCAUUCAAUUAAAAAUCAAUUUAAUUGAAUUUAAAGAAGAAAAUGGUUGGUUCGGUUUGACUAACAAUAAUUGAUUCGUCGGUUUAUUUUGUUUCAAUUUGUUUUGGUUUGUUGUAACAAUAAAAAUCAUUUUUUUUGGUUAAUUUGGACUAAAAAAAAAAAACCAUGAUUAGAUAAAAACUAUAAAUGUGCAUAUGAAGUUGUAUCGAAUGUGAAAGCUUUUCAUCAAAUUAAUAAUAUAACCAAUACUCAUAUUAUUGAUGUAAAUAUAGAACUUCUAGAUAAGUUCAAUUUGUUUUACUAUUGAUUUUUUAAAUAGGUAACCGAAUUGGUCUAAUUCAAUUUUAUAUUUUAAAACCCAAUAUUAUUAAAAGAAAAAUUGCUAAAAAUUAGUGGAUUAGGGUUAGUUCAUUGAUUCUGUCUACACCCCAAAAAGAAGAGUGUCCACUUCGUAUUGUCAACUUUGUGUGCUUAUAAGUUACAAUUUUGCACCAUGAGAUUCACAUUUGUACUUAUUAUUGCUAAUUUUGUGUGGUCAUAAGUUAUAAUUUUACCCCACUAGAUUCACAUUUGCUAGCAUCAUAAUUGACUUUCUACAUCCAUGCAUUCAUGAAUCAUUACAUUUCAAUACUGUAUUACCAUUUUGGUGCUAAACAAGAAGACUCGUCUUUAAAGUACUCAAGCAAACCCUCACCAAUUUUAAUCAUUUUUCAAUUUAGAUGAAUGGGAGCAACAACACUAGAACAAUGAAGUAGAUGAUGAAAUAAAAUAAAAAACAAAGAUAGUAUACAAACUCUAAUUUUAUUGGUUUGUCAUAGUCUUGACUUAUAUGCACUCUCCUCAAACUUUAAAAUUCUGCUAACUUCUAAUCCUUCAAGCCAAUCUUAAACUCUUACAUUUUGAUUCUUGAUUCCAAAAGACCUUCUUACACUUGCCUCAAUAGAUUCUUUACUUUUGAAUACACUAGUCACAAGUUGUUAACAAUUGAACAAAAUUAAUCUUUCUAAAUCUUAAUUAGUACAAGUUUAAACUUGAGAAAAUACAAGAGGAAAUUAGGAUGUUUUGUCUUAGAUAAGAUUUAUAAGUUAAUCAAGAAUUUUACAUUGAGAACAAAGAGUUAAGAUCAAUUCAGUUAAGUGAGAUUGUAGGAUCUAAUUAGUUUGAGAUCUUAAGCGGUCCUGUUAUAAUCUUAUUAUUUUAUUCCAAAAUUGCCUAAGAGGGAAGUAGUAAUUUAGGACAACAAUUCCCUCCCAAAGUUUAUUGGUUUGAAACUAAUACUUUAUUAUACCAGCAUGUUUGAGUUGAAAACACAAAAAUUGAAGCUAAGGCAAGUACUUUACAAUUCGGAUUGGGUUGCAUCGAGCUUUGGUGGUAACUACUUGGGAGAUGGCUAAAGAAUGCUUGACCGCCAAUGACCAGGUUUCAUCCUCGCGUCCCGAACUUUUAGCCGCAAAACAUUUGGGCUACAACUACGCCAUGUUUGGUUUCUCUCCAUACGGUUCUUACUGGCGUGAAGUGCGCAAGAUAAUCAGCCUAGAGUUACUCUCUAACCGCUGCCUAGAGCUGCUGAAGGACGUCUGUGCUUCAGAAGUGGUGACAUCCAUAAAAGAGCUAUACAAGCUCUAGGCAGAGAAAAAAAAUGAAUCGGGCCUUGUCUCGGUGGAAAUGAAGUAGUGGUUUGGAGAUUUGACUCUGAACGUAAUUCUUAGGAUGGUGGCAGGGAAGCGUUAUUUCAGUGCUUCAGAUGCAAGUGAAAAUAAACAGGCGCAGAGGUGCUGGAGAGUGUUCAGGGAAUUUUUUCAUUUGGUAGGGCUCUUUGCGGUGGCGGACGCUAUUCCUUUUCUUGGAUGGCUCAACUGGGGGAGACAUGAGAAUACCCUAAAGAAGACAACAAUAGAAAUGGACAAUAUUGCUCAAGAAUGGUUAGAGGAGCACCGUUGGAAAUCAUGAUAAUAGUACGCAAGACUUCAUGGAUGUGAUGCUGUUAGUUCUUGAUGGCAAAAAUCUUGGUGAGUACGAAAGCCACAUGCUUGUGUGGACCCGCAUUUUUCACGUGCACCUCCACUCAAUCGGCGAGACUCGUUUUUUUUUGGUGAAGAUGUUGUUUUUGGAAAAGUCGGAGUCGCCACUUAUUUUAUUUUAUUUUAAAGGGAAAAUAAAACAAGAAAUAAAACCCUAAAAAAUGACUCCAUAGUUUUUUGGAAAAGCAUGUCUUUGAAAAACCCGAGUCUAGGUCCGGGGAUCAGGUUACUUAUUGGGAAGGUACCUCCAGGAGAUAGCACCUCUCUAAGCCCUACAAAGGUCCCUACUGACUAUGUUGAAGGAAAUGUGGCAAUCAACUGAUUAAUUGAGGGUACCUAGGUAGGCUAAGGUGAUCUCAAAACUAGCAUGCUAAACAAGAAAAACCAAUCACGCCCAUAAAGGAAAGUUAGGAUGCGUACCUGGACCACUUCUUAAGCGCUAUCAUAAAACAUCAAUGGUUAGUUUAGAUAAUAUAUCACUCAGUAUGUGUUUUAUCAUGAAUGAUCAAACAAUGUAGCAAAUAUCAAGACAUCCCAAGCAUUCUCAAACAUAGGUAUAAAUCAUAAUGACGAUCAUAUUUACAAAAUUUGGAAGGUAGGUGACAGGAGACGUACCUGGAUAGCAUAGAUAACUUGUAACGUGCUUUCACAAGACAUGAGAGGUUAGAUAACAAACAAUAAAAUAAGAAGUCCUAGCAUGUUUGUUAUCUAAUUAGCAUAGAAAAAAAAAAUUAUCAUAGUAUAUGAAACCAUCAAUUAUCACUUAUAUCUUCUGUAUAAUUUCUAAAAAAUAAAUAGACAUGAUUUCCUUAAAUAGCAAAGGGGGCAACAAAGAUGAGUUUUGAAAAUUUUCCUUAUGUAGGGGCUUCACCAAUUCCCCGAUUGAUAUACACAAAUCUAGUUUAGAAUUAUCCCAUUUGUUUGGGACCACAAGCUUGGAUUCAUGUCUUACUCAAAACUGUAAUUUUAUUUGAAAUUUAAGAAAGAUGCAAACAGAUCAAAACAUGGUUGCACAUUAUUUGAGAAAAUGAGAUUUCGAUUCUAAGAACUCUAAAUGAAUUUUUGAAAUGGAUUCCUAAAGGGAAUGAGAUUUUGAUUCUAAGAACUUUAAAUGAAUUUUUGAAAUGGAUUUUUAAAGGGAUUUUUUUUAGAAUAGUGUUAUGUUUUAAAAAUAAAAGAAAUUAAUUUCAAAACAAUAAAACGUAUGAAUCAAAUACCAAGCAAAACAAAAGAGAACAAAAUCACAAAGUAGAAUUUUUGACAACCAAGAAAAUUGAAGUGGUGAGAAUGGAAGCCAAUCUUCACUAUUUUUCGAUGGUCUCCAAAAAGUAAAUUUUACUAGAGACUACCAAAGCAAUAAACUAUUCAAACUUGGAUCAAAUAAGCUAACGAAAUACCCACCAAGAAUUAAUGACGAAAAUUCAAGAAACACAUCUACUAAGAAUAACAAUCAAGAAUUAGCAUGAGAUCAAUUAAACACACAAACGCAUCUAGAUUAACUAAAAUGAACCAAAUUAAAUCAAAGCAAACAAUAAUUUUCAAACAUAGAAUUAACUUUAUUAAUGAACUAAUAUUAUAUAAAAUACCUAAAUCGAAUAGAUGUGCAAAACUAAAUCAAAGUAAACUAAAGGCAUGAAUUCUCAAAAAUAGAAUUGAUUUUAUUAAUGACCUAAAAUUAUACAAACUCCUAAAAUAAUUAAAAUGAAUCAAUUUAAACGAAAGGAAACUAAAACAAAAUAUGAAUUCAGGGAAUCUAAUUUCGAAAUAAACUUACAUUAUUAAAAUGAAAUCUAGGCUUAAAAACUAUUAAACACUAAUUAAAGCCAAUCUAAACUUAAAUUCUUAACACACAUGAUCAAUUAUUUUAACAAACUAACAUUUUACCUUAACCACAAAUUAAAUUAAAAAACUACUUGAGACUAAAUUUCUAACCUAUAAAAUUAAACUCAUAAUCAAAUGGAUAAGUUGAUGACACAGACAAAUAAAUAUGAAUAAAAUAAAAUAUGAAUGAAAUGAAAUACGAACACAAGGAAUUAAAUAAUUUUUUCUUUUUUUUAAUAAACUUAUGUUAGUAAAAUAAAUUUGAGCUUAACAAACAUUUUUAUCACUAAUUAAGGCAAGUUUAAAAUAUAAUACUUAACACAUAAAAAAUCAAUCAUUUCAACAAACUAUAAUUUUAACUAAACUUAAAGUCAAUUCAAACAACCUUCAAUAGAUUUUUUUAUUUUUAUUUUAAACUGAAUUUUUAACCCAUAGAUUCAAUCUCAUUGAUAAAUAAAUAAAUAAAUAAGUUACAAAGCAUUAGCUUAGUAGCAAAUAAAUAAAUAAACAACUAAUAAUUAAAUGAAUCACAACUAAACUAAAUAAAGAUCAAACUAUAUUAUUUUUUUUAUUUUUCAAAAGUAGAAUUACAUGAAUUUGUAUUUUUUGAAUUUAAUAUAAUAUACCAAACUAAACUUAAACACAAUUCUCAUUCUGCCAUAUUAAAACAAAAAAUGCAUGGAGUUAGUAAAUAAAGUCAAAUGACACAAUAUAAUAAUAAUUCCACUAAAAAACCAAUCAAACUAAUUAAAAUUCUAAAAAAUAUCAACUAAAACAAGAUCAAUCAAAAUUAGCGUGUAUAUAUAUAUAUAUAUAUAUAUAUAUAUAUAUAUAUAUAUAUAUAUAUAUAUAUAUAUCUUUAUUUUUAGUUAUUUAUUUAUUAAAACACGAAUACAUCAACACGAAACGAAAUAAACUAACCAACUUACAUUCUAAAACUAAAAGGAUAAAUCAUGAAUUAAAAUUAACAACCUUUGGAUAUGAAAAGAGUGGCAUGGAAUCAAUUGAAAUAAUAAACUAAAAUUUAAUAACAUCUAAACUAAAAGAUAAAUUAAAACUAAAUUAAAUGAAAUUAUGAACUUCCUAAUUGAGAAAAAAAAUAAUAAUAGUAAUAAAUCUAAUCAAAAUUCUAAAUUUUAAACCAUCAUCAUGAAUUGCCCAAACUCUUAAAAAAUCCUAACCUUUCCAUUAUCAACAAAAAUUGCCUAAACCAAUAUUUAAAAAAUCUAAUUUGUCAAACUAAGAAUAAUAAAUUGUAACUACAUUAAACAAAAAUCAUAAUCUUCAAGCUAGAAUAAUGAAUCAAUAAUAAUUAAUUUAUUUAGAUAAGAAAAAUUAAAAAAAUAAAUUAAAGAUUAACAUCUAAGCUAAACAUGAAUUUACAAUAAAAAUUUAAAAUACAAAGAUUGAAUGGGAAUAAUUUUAAAACUAAUAAAUUGUCAUCAGGAAAUAUAUUGAUAUUAGAAAUAAUUAAACUAUAUAGAUAAAACUCUAAAACGAUUAUGCAUUGAAUUGAAUAUUUCUUGAAUCAAAAUUGAAAUAGGAAGGAUAAAUUCACAUUUUCCGAAACGUGUAGGUCACUUUCCACUAGUAGGAUUUCUAUUUUUUAUUUUAUUUUAAAAGAAUCAUUGCCAAGGAUGCAUGGUGUGGUGGCUGCCCAUGCACUGUAGCUGAAGACUUCUUCUUGGUGGUCUUUGAAACCUAGGAGCAUGGCUGAAUGUUUCCUUUCUUCCAAUAGUGCAACUGCUCCGGAAGUCCUCUCAACGGUGCGGCUGAUUCAGAAAUCGUCAUCUCAAUGGUGCGGCUGUUUCGGAAAUCUUCCUCUCAAUGGUGCGGCUACACCCUCUCACAUUCCAGAAAAUAAUCUUACUCCUCCCACCUGGAUCCCCUUUAGUGCGGCUGUUGAUCUCCUUCCCGUUUGGUGUCACCCUCUCUUCUGAUGCAUGCUGAAAGCGUCCCAAGAAUGGUGCAGCUGGUCGUUCUUGCUUCUCCAAAGGCGUCAGACCCUCUUAUGCGUGCUGAAAGCGUCCUAAGUAUGGUGCGGCUGGUCGUUCACCCCUCUCCAAAAAAAACUCUCCCCCCUCUCACUUUCUAACCUUCCUCUCCAGUACUCUGCCAACAUGGGAAGACAACUCACCAGCCCGGAGAGCCUCAAUCAUCCACGUCAGUCUAGCAUCAUCAGGACUCUCCUUCCUGAACAUAGUCUUCAUUCCGUCCAAAUACCCAUUGAACAUUUCCUUUUUCCAUGCCAAAAGAACUUUGGUAAUUUUCUUUCUUCAUUCAUUUCCUUCCAUUAGAAGCACAAUCAACACAUGCAUGGGUGCAUACUUGCUUUCCUUCUUAGUUCAUUUUCUUCCAUACGUCCUGUCCUCUUCCAACCACCUUGAAUCCAUCCUUUAACCCGCUGAAUAUUUCCUUUCCAUAAUCACACAUGAAAAUUCCUCUUUUUAAUUUUUUUUUUUGACUGAAUAUCCUCUAUUUCCUGAAAGACUCACACAUGAAUAUCCUUGCCAAUACACGUUUUCAACCUUCCUUUUUCUCUCCAGUGAUGAUUCCUUUGGUGAGUUUCUCUACAAAAAUAUAAAGAAAAUUAGACUUAAUGAAUGAAUCCCAAGGUGUUUUAGAAAAUUAUAAAAUAAAUUAACAAAAUAAUUAAGUAAAUAAUGAUAAUAAUAAUAAUAAUAAUAAUAAUAAUAAUAGUAAAGUGUCAUGCAAUCUAUGCAACCAUGCAAUCAUGUGAGCAACUCAAGUCAUGCAAAGAAUGUCUAAUGGGCCUCGGGUGUAUCUAAUGGACCUAAAGGGUCUAAGUGGACCAAUGAUGGUGCCUAAUGGGCCUAAGUGGGCCUAGGGUGGUGCCUAAUGGACCUAAAGGGUCUAAGUGGGCUUAGGGUGGUGCCCAAGUGUAUCUAAGUGAACCUAAAGUGCUUAAGUGGAUCUAAGUGAACCUAAAGUGUUUAAGUGGAUCUAAGUGAACCUAAAGUGCCUAAAUGGGCCUAAGUCUAAAUUAGGGCUACUAAGAGUCACAAUAGGGUUAAAUGAAUCCCUCUACCAAAGUCUCCGAGGUGGCUCAAAAAAGGUAAGUAGUAUGAGUAGCUAUGGGCCACUAAGGAACUACUGUGGAGCACUGGAAGUGAACUUAAAGACAUGUGCUAAAGGAACAAAAUUGAGGGUCUACAACCUGGUAUGAGUAUUAAUGGAACACCCACGUAACAUUGAUAAAGACAAAUUGCAAGGAUAAGGCAAUGAUCGAACAAAUAACCUAUGAUUAAACAAGAUCAUUCAAAAUCAAUUUUGUAUAUUUUUGUAACCGUUAUUUGAUGUGUUGACUUGAACAAUUCUGUAACUGUUGUAUAGUUGUAGGCAAAUUGAUGUACAUUGCCGCAAAUAGUUUUUCUUAGCUAUGCAUAUAAGUAAACUCUUAUUACAUCAAUAAAAGUGUGAAAAUUUUCAUUGAAAACAACAAUGUUAUUUCUUCUAUACUAUUUAUAUUUGCAUAGGGCUAGCUUCUUUUCCAUAGUUUUUCUUUUGUUUAUAUGUUUUAAUUGAUGCAUAUUCACUUUCUUAUUCUCUUAAUUAAAUUGCAAUAAUUAAAACUCUAAUUUAAAUAAAUUUUAAAAUUUAUUUUUAACUAAAAACAACAAUAUACAUAUACAAAUAUAUACUGCUUAAGUAAUUAAUUUUUUUAAAAAAUAUCCUUUGAGAACAUCUCAGACAAACUAAGACAUGCUUCUAGGGAAAUCUAAAUAUAAUGUUUUUAAAAGCUACCUUGUAAUUUUAUUUUCGAGCAUGUUGCAUUAUAUAUACUUUCCUUGAAUUGAUUUUCCAAAUUUUAUUUUUGUCAACAAUAAGGGUUAUCUACGUUUUGGAAGAUAUCUUUAAUUUCCCCUCCAAAGAAUAAGUGAUCUUGAAACUUAUAAGUUAAUUAUGUUCACUUGAUCGAAUAAGAGAUUUGAACAAUCUUGUAAAAAGAUGUUAAGCAGAUGGUUGAUUUCGAAAUUAUCCUUUAAACUAUAAAGGGAAAUAGAAAAAAAUACUAUUAUUUUGGUACAAGACCAUAUUGUUUAGUAGUGUCUCUAGGGAGUUCCAUUAGAUGCUAUCAAACAAUUAAUUUGGUGUCUCACUAACGUAAUUUUGAGUUGUUGAAUUUUGGGUUUUGCAAACUCUAAUUGCUGGAGGUAGUGACACAACUGUUGUCUCUCUAACCUGGGUAUUCUCUCUUUUACUCAACAACCGCGACACCUAAAAAAAAGCUAAAAAAAAAAAAUAUUCAAGUUGGCAAGGAAAGAUUAGUGAAUGAACAAGAUAUAAGUAAGUUGGUCUAUCUUCAAGCCAUUCUUAAAGAAAUUGAGAAAAUAAAGGCUAAUCUUAAAAGAUAAAAACACCCAAGAGGGGGGUGAAUUGAGUUUUUAAAAAUUAUUUUUAAACACAACAAAUUUAAGCAUAAGAGAAUCAAAUAUAAAAAGAUAAGGUUAGAGAAAUCAAACUCAGAUUUUAUAAUGGUUCAACACUUCCUUACCUACAUCCACUCUCCUCAAGCUCUUAACCGAGUGAGGGUUCCACUAACAUGAAGUUUCAACCAAACUUCUAAUUACAUUUACACUUAGAUUCCGGCUCCAAUGGGCUCUUACACAAUCUCUUCAAGUUUCAACUCACUUAAAGACUUUAACACUAAGUUAACAAGUAUGAAUCUCUCAACUUAGCUCAACAAUGACUCAAAUACAACCCAAAGCUAGGAUGAAUCACAAAGGUGCACUAAAGGAUAUGUAAAUGGAGAUUUAAUGCACCAAGAAAAGAAAUGAGAGCUUUUAAGGCAAGAACAAAUAGGUAAGCAAAUAAAUGCAUGUGUUCUCUUACUCAUAAAUGAAGUGGAACUCUUUAUUUAUAGGUUUUUAACAUUAUAAGCCAAAAAACCAAAAAAACAGUCUCAAUCGGUUGAGCUGAGGGUCAAUCGGUUCACUAGCCAUUGCAGCAUUUAAUGCUUGUCAGGUGACAGUUACCCUCGACCGGGAAGACAAAUCCCUCGACUGGGAAGGAAAGGCUACUGAAAAAGAGAGAGUCUUUUUUGCACCUCUCGGUCGGACCUCAACAGGAAAGGGGGAGCCGGUCGACCGGUACCCUAGUCAAUUGAGCCUGUUUGGACAUAGCCUUGAUCGGUUCACAAUUUUUUACCCGAAAACCUAUCUUUUUCUAGUAUUUUUGCUUCAAACACAUAGGUAAGGUCUUCAGAUAAAAUAUAUGCCAAUUUUGAAACGUUUAGCUUAAGGUUCAUUUGAUAGAUCUCGGAUUUUGGUGAAAAUGUAACUUUAAAGCAUAAAUCGAGUUUUUCAAAGAUGCAUGAAAUAAUAUGUAAAUCCUAAGUGUAUCAAUGCAUUCAUCUUACAUAUGUUUCCUAUCAUUAAAGGUCUUUCCAAAAGUCUUGAUCUUGCAUCCAUUAGGUCAUUUGAUGAAUUUCCAAAUUAACACCUGAAAUUUUUUAUAAUUUAAACCAAUUAGUAACUUAACUAUGAUUUGUUAUCAUCAAAACAUGAUUAGGAGAACCCUUGGGCUAACAGAGACAUUACGGUUAUAUCCACCAAGACCACUUGGAGGACUAUGCCAAUUUAUUGAGGAUUGCACCUUGGGUGGAUACCAUGUCUUUAAAGACACUUGUUUAAUAAUGAACCUUUCGAAGAUCCAAAAUAUCCAAGAAUCUAGUUAGAUUCGAUAGAAUUCUAACCAGAGAGGUUUCUCAUCAACCAUAAGAAUGUUGAUCCUUAGGGAAAACAUUUUGAAUUUAUACCAUUUGGAGCUGGUCAAAGAGCAUGUCUAGGAAUAGCUUUUGGUCUUCAAAUAUUAUAUUUAGCAUUAGCUAGUUUCUUACAUGCAUUUGACUUUUCAACUCCAUCAAAUGAACAUGUUGAUAUGCGAGAGAGCUUUGGACUUACAAAUAUGAAAUCUAUCCCACUCGAAGUUUUCAUUUCUCAAAUCUACCCCACUUGAAAUCCUCAUUUCUCUACACUUAUCUUCUUGUAGUCUUUACAACUAAAACAUUGAAAUGAAGAGGUCAAAGUUGACCCAGCUAGUCUUGGUUUAAAGACAUAUAGAGUUAGGUUCAAUCAAUCUAUGAUAAGAUUUGAGAUUUGUAUUAAAAGUAGGUUGGACUAAGAAUGAUGUACAAUAAACUAAAGUACUAUCCAUGCAAAUAAAGUAUAACAUUAUAUAUUAUUUGGUUAGCAUUCUGAAAUGUAACAUCAUAAUUAUUUCUUUGUUUUGUCUAAUUUAUCGCCAUUUCACCCCCUCAUCUUCAUCAAAACAAAUAAUAUAUAGUCUUUCUAUUUUUAAAAAUCAAAUUCGAUUCCCAAUUAUAUAAGAAUUUUACUAUUACUUUAUAAUAAACUUUACUUUAGUCUUAAUAACUUUGACUUGUAAAUAUGUUCUCCAUCCUUAAUUAAAUAUACAGAUAAUUUCAUUCAUUUUUUCUAAGAUUGGAGUUAAAUUUACCCAUCCAUACUUAACUUGAAAUUUUCUUAAAUAUCUGUUUUUUUUUCAUUUUUUUUACACGUAUAUCUUUUAAUUUAAAAUAAAAAAUAUUUAAUAAAAUUUCAAAAUAAUAGUUGUCAGACAUAUUUAUGUGACAUUUUCGAAGAGGUGAAUGAAACUAAACUUUUCUUUAAAUAUAAAAUCAUAAAAAUUUAAUAUAUGCAAGCAUGAUCCGGUCUAAAUAUGAUAUAUAAUUUGUGUCAUUUCAAAAAAUCACAGAAGAUCCUUUUGGCAAAGUGGCCCCCCAUUUGAGUUGUAUUCCGUAAUUGGUCACCACAUGUUAUAUCAUUUCAAAGAUUAUGGAGGAUCAUGUUGCCAAUCAUUAUCAGAAGAAGUACAGCUUCCUCUAUAAAACUAAUCAAUACGAUAUUUAGCACAUGCAAACAAAUUUGGAAGGAUCUGAAAGUCAAGUCUACGGGCCACCCCUUUACGACUUGUUCGAAAAAGCACAAAUCAAUGGUGGUGCCACUUGCCAGCAGUCUGUUUCAAUAUCUAAAUGUUACCUCGGUAAGAUUGCUUGACAUACUUUUUGUCUCCUACUAUCUCAUGGAGAUCCAGAGUUGGUAAGAUAAGAAUAGCAUCCGAAGCUGCUGGUGCAUGGCCAAUAAUCGGUCACCUCCUCUUAGGUGGGUCACAACUUCCUGGGAUUUUUUAUAAAAUUACGGUAGAUUUAAAAUUAAUUUUUUUAAAAUGCAGCAUAUUAAUGCUUGACAGCUGACAGUUACCCUCGAUCGGAAAGACAAAUCCCUCGACUGGGAAGGAAAGGCUACUGAAAAAGAGAGAGUGUUUUUUGCACCUCUCGGUCGGACAUCAACAGGGAAGGGGGAACCGGUCGAUCGGUACCCUAGUCAGUUGAGCCUGUUUGGACAGAACCUUGACCGGUUCACAAUUUUUUACCCGAAAACCUUUUUUUUUUUUGGUCUUUUUGCUUCAAACACUUAGACAAUGUCUUCAGAUAAAAUUAUAUACCAAUUUUGAAACGUUUUGCCUAAGGUUCAUUUCAUAGAUCUCGGAUUUUGAUGAAAAUGUAACUUUAAAGCAUAAAUCGAGUUUUUCAAAGAUGCAUGAAAUAAUAUGUAAAUCCUAAGUGCAUCAAUGCAUUUAUCUUACAUAUGUUUCCUAUCAUUAAAGGUCUUUCCAAAAGUCUUGAUCUUGCAUCCAUUAGGUCAUUUGAUGAAUUUCCAAAUUAACACCUGAAAUUUUUUAUAAUUUAAACCAAUUAGUAACUUAACUAUGGUUUGUUAUCAUCAAAACAUGAUUAGGAGAACCCUUGGGCUAACAGAGACAUUACGGUUAUAUCCACCAGGACCACUUGGAGGACUAUGCCAAUUUAUUGAGGAUUGCACCUUGGGUGGAUACCAUGUCUCUAAAGGCACCCGUUUAAUAAUGAACCUUUCGAAGAUCCAAAAGGAUCCAAGAAUCUAGUUAGAUUCGAUAGAAUUCCAACCAGAGAGGUUUCUCAUCAACCAUAAGAAUGUUGAUCCUUAGGGAAAACAUUUUGAAUUUAUACCAUUUGGAGCUGGUCAAAGAGCAUGUCCAGGAAUAGCUUUUGCUCUUCAAAUAUUAUAUUUAACAUUAGCUAGUUUCUUACAUGCAUUUGACUUUUCAACUCCAUCAAAUGAACAGGUUGAUAUGCGAGAGAGCCUUGAACUUAUAAAUAUGAAAUCUAUCCCACUUGAAGUUUUCAUUUCUCAAAUCUACCCCACUUGAAAUCCUCAUUUCUCUACACUUAUCUUCUUGUAGUCUUUACAACUAAAGCAUUGAAAUGAAGAGGUCAAAGUUGACCUAGCUAAUCUUGGUUUAAAGACAUAUGGAGUUAGGUUCAAUCAAUCUAUAAUAAGAUUUGGGAUUUGUAUUAAAAGUAGGUUGGACUAAGAAUGAUGUACAAUAAACUAAAGUACUAUCCAUGCAAAUAAAGUAUAACAUUAUAUAUUAUUUGGUUAGCCUUUUGGAAUGUAACAUCAUAAUUAUUUCUUUGUUUUGUCUAAUUUAUCGCCAUUUUUUCCCUUUCUCUUAUUCCCUCAUCUUCAUCAAAACAAAUAAUAUGUAGUUUUUCUAUUUUUAAAAAUCAAAUUCGAUUCCCAAUUAUAUAAGAAUUUUACUAUUACUUUAUAAUAAACUUUACUUUAGUCUUAAUAACUUUGACCUGUAAAUAUGUUCUCCAUCCUUAAUUAAAUAUACGGAUAAUUUCAUUCAUUUUUUCUAAGAUUGAAGUUAAAUUUACCCAUCCAUACUUAACUUGAAAUUUUCUUAAAUAUCUAUUUUUUUUCCUUUUUUUUACACAUAUAUCUUUUAAUUUAAAAUAAAAAAUAUUUAAUAAAAUUUCAAAAUAAUAGUUGUCAGAUAUAUUUAUGUGAAAUUUUCGAUGAGGUGGAUGAAACUAAACUUUUCUUUAAAUAUAAAAUCAUAAAAAUUUAAUAUAUGCAAGCAUGAUCCGGUCUAAAUAUGAUAUAUAAUUUGUGUCAUUUCAAAAAAUCAUAGAAGAUCCUUUUGGCAAAGUGGCCCCACCUUUGAGUUGUAUUCUGUAAUUGGUCACCACAUAUUAUAUAAUUUCAACGAUUAUGGAGGAUCAUGUUGCCAAUCAUUAUCAGAAGAAGUGCAGCUUCCUCUAUAAAACUAAUCAUAUUUAGCACACGCAAACAAAUUUGGAAGGAUCUGAAAGUCAAGUCUACGGGCCACCCCUUUACGGCUUGUUCGAAAAAGCACAAAUCGAUGGUGGUGCCACUUGCCAGCAGUCUGUUUCAAUAUCUAAAUGUUACCUCGGUGAGACUGCUUGACAUACUUUUUGUCUCCUACUAUCUCAUGGAGAUCCAGAGCUGGUAAGAUAAGAAUAGCAUCCGAAGCUGCUGGUGCAUGGCCAAUAACCGGUCACCUCCUCUUAGGUGGGUCACAACUUCCUGGGAUUUUUUAUAAAAUUACGGUAGAUUUAAAUUUAAUUUUUUUAAAAUGCAGCAUAUUAAAAAAUAUCUUUGAAUAAUAAUAAUAAAAUGACAAAUAAUAAAAAGGAAAGAAAGUUGUCUUGUGGCUAUAAGAAAGAAUAAUAUAAAAGAGAGAGAAGAGGAGAGGCGGAUAGAGAGAAGAGUAGCAGGAAAAAAAAAAAAGAGAACAGGGAGGUGCAUGCUGCAAAUCUUUGGGUGUUCGUAUGACGAGCAAAACGAGUUAUGUUUUGCGUGAAAAUUAAGGUGAAAAUUUUCUUUGACAUGAGGAACAUUCUUUCAAAGUUUGAUUUUAAUUUCAAUGAUUGGAUUUUUUGAUUUGUGGUGAGGUAGUUUAAUCCUAUAACUUUUGUUUAAUAUUUUUUCUUAAAAAAAUAUUAUGGAUUUUAUUACUGGGAGAUAAAUAUGUGUUAUUUGUGUUUUCUUUAUGUUAUUUGAAAUAUGAUUAUUGUUAGGGUGGAUUAUUAUGAUUUUUUUUUUUUUUUAUGUUUGCAAUGAUUUAAUUGAAGAAAAAUUAUUGUGUUGAUUGUUGGAAAUUAUUCAAUAUAUUAAGAAUAAAUAAAAUUUAUAUGAUUAUGGUUUAGACUAUGUUUUGAUGAUAUAUAAAUUAUUGUGAUUUUUUUUGUGGUUAUUUAAUUGAAGAAAAAUUGUUGUGAUGUAAUUGGAAUUAUUGAUUAUGUUUGGAGUAAAUAAAAAUUAUGUCCUAUAAAAUUAUGGAUGAUAACAUGUAAGUUUAUUAUAUUUCAUAUAUGGUUAUAUGAAAAAAAAUGAUGAAAGAUUUUAUGAAAUGGAAAAAGGAAAAAAAAAGAAAAAAAAAAUGAUGAUGAAAAGUAAAAGCCCGUAAAAGACGAAUUAAGAAAGAAAUGAGAUUUCUAGUAUGAAAACUACAAAAAUUUAUCUUAUGAAAACUCUAAAUGGGGAGUGUAUUUGGUACAGAUGCAUAUCAUUAAGUGAAAACCCAAAAACAAUAGUUUGUUACUUUACUGAAUGUAAACAUUUGCAUCAUGUUUUUAUUUGGAAGAAUGACAUGUAUUAAUUACUUGAAUGACGUCAAUGGUAUGUUUGGAUAUAUUAUUAGAGAUUGAAAUGAUUUAUUUAUUUUGUAAAUUUAGAAUUGUUUGAUAUGUUAUUUAUAUAAUUGAAUAAGAAAUGUGAUAAUUUUGAUUAGUUUAAUUUUAUAUGGUUGAUUUUUUAUUUAAUGACUAUAAUGCAUUGUUUUGAAAAUUGGAUCGGACCAACCGGUUCAAUCGCCAACUGGUGAUCUUUCCGGUUCCAUCCUCUCCUUUAAACCGCUAGAUGGUUGAACCGACCACAAACCACUAUUGGCAGUUGGACCGAUGAACCGCUUGGACCAGGUGGUUUUUCAUGAACUGCAUGGCUCAAUUCCAGCCCAGUCUUCCCCCCAUUUUUUCUUUCAUCCAAAUAGUCCAACCUUCCCCUCCUCUUUUUCAUAGGGUCCAAGUGAAAGCCCAAUAAGCCCAGCCUUACAUCUUAAUGGUCUUUAGGCAAAACCUAAACCCAUUUAAACCCCUCAAUGGGUUGUACCUUUGAACCCAUUAGUUACACAAAUAGCUUGAAUGAACUGUGUUUUACGCGCAUAUUCACAUCCACAUCCAUGUGGGAUUGCUGCUAUUUUAAGUCUAAAGAAAAAGCAACGCCACUUAGCUACAACACAAUUUGAUGCAAGUCUAGAAAAUAAAAAAAUCAGCAUGUGUUUCAAAAAAGAUUAAUAAUAUUAAAUAAAAUAAUAUAAUAUUUUCUGAAAUUAUAAAAUUAGUUAAAGUUAAAUAAUUAAAUUUUUACAUAUUCCAUUUAAUAAAGUUCAAAAUAUUAAUAUAUUUAUAUUUAUAUUUUGAUAAUAUCAAAGAUAAAAAAUAAAUAUUUUUAAUUUUUUAAUUUAUAUAAUAUUAUAUUUUGACAUAUAAUUGUUUUCUAUUGACUUAAAUUUUUUAAUUCAUUUGGGUGUAAAACACCUUACAAAACAAUGUGAAAAUGUUCACCCCUUUAUUUUUAUAAAAUUUUUAGAUACAAAUAUAGUUUAUAAGGAACCAUAAGAAAAUCAAGAAGUGUUCCAAAAAGCCUUAACAAAUAAAAGAAAAAUAAUAAUAAUAAUUUUUAAUUUAUAUUACCUUUUUGACAUGUACUAAUUUGAGUUAUAUGAAUUUUUGUAACUUAAAUUAUAUUUUGUUAUUUUGUAAAAUAUUUUUGGAAAUAUUUUUUACUUAGAUUUAUGUAGAUAUUUGGGUUAAUUUGGGAUUAAAUAUUGAUCUAUUCACUGUCAAAUUGGAUAGGAAUAAACUUUAAGGUCAACCCUUUGACCUGAUAUCACUAGUCGGAUUCUGAGUUGCCUUGGGUGUGACUAUAAUGGAUUUUCUUCUCCAAUGCCUAAACCCUGUCAUGGUUGGAGCGUUUGCAAUACUCGUCCUCUCAUACCACCUGUUAUUAUGGAGGUCUGGAGCUGGUAAGAGCAGAAUGGCACCUGAAGCUUCUGGUGCAUGGCCCAUAAUAGGCCACCUGCACCUGUUAGGUGGAUCUAAGAAUUUGCCUCACUUACUUUUUGGAACCAUGGCCGACAAGUAUGGACCAGUAUUCAGCAUCCGGCUGGGAUUAAAAAGAGCUGUGGUUGUGAGUAGUUGGGAAAUGGCCAAAGAAUGCUUCACCACCCAUGACCUGGCUCUGGCCUCCCGUCCUGAGCUUGUGGCCGCCAAAUAUUUGGGAUAUAACUAUGCCAUGUUUGGUUUAUCUCCUCACGGUGCAUACUGGCGUGAAGUGCGUAAGAUAGCCACUCUAGAGCUACUCUCGAACCGCCGGCUAGAGUUGCUGAAGAAUGUCCGAAUCUCAGAGGUGGAGACAUGCAUGAAGGAACUAUACGAGCUUUGGGCAAAGAAGAAAAGCGAAGCAGGCGUUGUUUUGGUGGACAUGAAGCAAUGGUUUGGGCACUUGUCUCUGAACGUGAUUCUUAAGAUGGUUGUUGGAAAACGAUAUUUCGGUUAUGCAGCCGAAAGUAAAGAGAAAGAGGCCCAGCAGUUCCAGAAGGCGAUUAGGGAAUUCUUUCGUUUGAUGGGACUCUUUGUGGUGUCGGAUGCCAUUCCUUUUCUUGGAUGGCUUGACGUGGGUGGACAUGUGAAAGCCAUGAAGAAGACUGCAAAAGAAUUGGACGGUAUUACUCAGGAAUGGUUAGAGGAACACCGACGGCGAAAAGAUUCGGGUGAAGCUGAUGGUGACCAGGACUUCAUGGACGUGAUGCUGUCCAUUCUGGGUGGUAGAGACACUACUGAUUAUGAUGCUGAUACCAUCAACAAAGCUACAUCCCUGGUAUGCACAUUAUUCCUUUAGCAUCUUUAUAUGGUAGUAAAAAAUGAGACAUAAUUUCAUGCUUUAUCAUCUUUAGUCCAGACUCAAGAGUACUUGGGCCUGGGUUGGAAGAACUUCUUAUUUUUGCUUAGUUUCAAGUUGAAACUAAUCAAAAGCAGCGAUUUUUAAAAGGUAAUUAUAAUAGUGGUGUUAUUAAAGGUCAAACAUAAAUAACUUUUUGCAUAAAUCAAAAUAGAGUUUAUAUAUAUAUAUAUAUAUAAAAUAUUUUUCUGAUCUUCAUAUUAAUUUUUCUAAGUCAUAACUUUUUUGAACAAAAUUAGUCAAACCAUAGAACUCUUGAACUUACAGAAAAGGGCUUUCGAUUUCUUAGAAAUAGAUACAUGAAGAGUUUUGUUAUAUGUUUGUUUUUGUCAAAAGAGUAACAUGAGCAGCUUAGACAAGCAAUUAGAAUGAAAUACAACUGGGCUGAGAAGCUGAGUAGAACUAGAAUUAUGUACAACCUCUUGCUAGGAUAAUUGGGUUGGACUUGUAAUGAUAGAGUUCUCCGUUGGAGUUAGGUGGCCCAAAAAGAUUGUGCUGUUUGAAUAGCUGGUCCUCUAAUUUAGGAAGAGGCAGCCGAAUUUGCAACGCUGGGUGGCUGGGCCCAUAGAAAAUAUUCUUGUCAGAAGAUUGUGAAAGUAUGUUCCUUAGUCCGCAAGGUUUGAGGCCUCUUUGAGUGGGCUUCUAGAGUCGGUUAGACAAUUGGGCCUUUCAAAGGAUUUCCUAAAUUUACAAUUUUUUUAGCCCAACAUGAAUUUUUAUAAAAUGCUAUAUUUAUACGUGAGUUUCAUAUUCAAGCUAAACAUACCCAUUUUGAUUGGAAAAAAAGGGAAAGAACAUGGGGCCUUUUUUCCACCCUUAAUCUUAUCACUACUUUUAAUUUUAUUUUAUUAGUUAAUGGUUUGUAUUUCACAGGUUAUGAUUGGAGGAGGCGCUGACACUACAUCUGGUACUUUAACAUGGGCAGUCUCACUUUUAUUGAACAAUCCACACAUAUUAAGAAAAGCUCAAGAAGAAUUGGAUGCUCAUGUUGGUAAAGAAAGACUAGUAAAUGAAAUGGAUAUAAGCAAGUUGGUUUACCUUCAAGCAAUUGUUAAAGAGACAUUGAGGUUAAAUCCAAUAGCCCCACUUUCAGGACCGCGUCAAUUCAUCCAAGAUUCUAUUUUAGGUGGUUACCAUAUCUCAAAAGGCACUCGUCUUAUAUUGAACCUUACCAAGAUUCAAAGAGACCCGAGAGUAUGGUUGAACCCAAUGGAGUUCCAACCAGAUAGAUUCCUCACCACCCACAAAGAUGUUGAUGUUAGAGGUAAACAUUUUGAGUUGACACCAUUUGGUGGUGGAAGAAGAAUUUGCCCUGGAAUAGUUUUUGCCCUUCAAGUGCUACACUUAACAUUAGCCAACUUCCUGCAUAGAUUUCAACUUUCAACUCCAUCAGAUGCACCGGUUGAUAUGAGCGAGGGUUUUGGAUUAACAAACAUCAAAUCCACUCCACUUGAAGUUCUUAUCUCCCCACGCUUAGCUUCUUAUGAUCUUUAUGAGUAGAAUUUGAGGUCGCUAAGAGACUUAUUUCAAAAAACCUAGUACUAUGAAAUGUGAAAUAAAAAUAAAUUUCAUAGCAUAAGUUUAGUAUUAUUUUAAAAUAGUUACUAAUGUCUGUCCUUUAAUAUUGUCUUAGCUUGAAUUUAAUGAAAAAUAUUUUCGACACUUAUUUUGUGUGGACAAGUAAUGACCCAAUUUCUUGUUAUGUUUCUUCAUUCUUCCAUGAAAGAGAAUUUAGAAGAAAAAGUGGCAUAUAGCAUUACAAUUGAAAAAUUAAUAAGCAUGUACUCCAUAUGCAUAGUAGACUUAAUGAGUUUCCAAGUUGAUUAAUUGGUAUCUCCUUUUGAUAGAUUUCAGCCACCUUUUUGUACAUGAUUAAAGUAGUAAUGGAGACUAAAAUUACAACUCCCAUUUCAUUGUAAAAAGUUGGGAUGUGCAAGGUGGGUCAGUUCAAUUUUGGGCAUUAAAAUCAAAUCGAAUUGAACCCAAAAGAGGAAAAUGAUUAGUUUGACUUGAUUAACAAUAAUCUAAGUUGGUUUAUUUUGCUUCUAUUUAUAACAUCAAUUUUUUUUUUUAAUUUGAACGAAAAUAAUAUUAUUGAAGCAAGUCAUCUUUGGACGGUUGAAAUGAUAUUAUUACAACUAAUUUCAAAUCAUAUUAUUAUAACUUAAUGAUGUGAAUAGGUAUUAUUGUAACCCAUGUCAAUCAUAUCAAAUAGUCCAAGUCAUAGAUAAAAGUUAUAAAGGUGUGAUUGGGAGUUCCAUCCAAUGUGAAAAAUGUAUACCCAAUUAAUGAUGUAACCAAUUGUUAUACUGUAUAUUAUUACUGUGUGUAUAACUUUCAAUUCAAUUCAGUUUGGUUCAUUAAUUUUUUUAAUAGGUAAUUGAAUUGGUAUAACUUGGUUUUAUAUUUAAAAAACCAAAUUUAUUAAAAAAUAAAAUCUUAAAAAAUUAAUAGAUUUGGGUCAAUUUCAUUGAUUUUGCCAAUUGUACACCCUAAAAGAAGGGAUGUCCACUUAUCAUCCAUAAACUUUGUGUACUCCUAAGUUACAAUUUUGCCCCAUGUGAUUCACAUUUGUACUUAUUAUACUCAAUUUUCCGUACAAAUGAUUUAUUAUUUUGCAGAAUUUUACUCCAUGAGAUUCACAUUUGUACUUAUUAUUACCAACUUUGUCUGCUCUUAAGUUACAAUUUCUCCUAAUUAGAUUCACAUGCGUUACUGCCAUAAUUGACUUUCCACAUUUAUGCAUGAAUUAUUAUGUCAAUAGAUGCAUUAUCAUUUUGUCAAGUUAAUCUGACUUAGGUUAAUCACCAAAGGCAAGGUGAAUUAAUUGACUCAAUUUUAAUAAAUUUUAAUUUAACUAAGUGCAAGUAAUAAUAAUAAAACAGUUAAAAAAUACAUAAUUAAAUAACUAAAAAGAAGAGAUAACAGGUACAAACUCCGAUUUAUAUUUUGCUCAAUCCCAUACUCUCCUCAAGCUCUCAAAUGCAAAUUGAGGGUUCCACUAGCUUUUAAGACUUCAAUCAAAUCUUAAUCCUUUACACUUGGAUUCUCAAUUUCAAUGAUCUUUUUACACUUUAAUUCAAGAAAUUCCUCACUCUUGAACAUACUCAAAGGUAACACUUGAACAACAUUGAUCUCACAAAAUUUUAUUUACAAAUAAUAUAAAUGAAAACUUAAAUGGUUUUUCUUGGCUAGGAUUUCUAAGUUAAUAAGGAUUUUUGCAUUAAAAAGAAAUAGUUAAAAUCAAUUGGGUUUUGUAAGAUUUUGAUAUAUAUCUUAGUUUGCGAGUUUUUUGGGAUUCUAUUAUAAUCUUAUUGUUUUAUCCUAAAAUUGUCAAAAAAAGAAAUCAGUAAUUUAGUAUGGCAAUUUUACUCCAAAGAUUAUUGAUUAAAAAUUAUUUUACUAAUACCAACGUGUAAGAGUUAAAGGCAUAAAAUUGAAAUUAAAGUAAGUUUAUUAUUUUGGAUUUGGUUAAGUAAUGACAAGAUUAAUAAUUGAAAUUAAUGUAAAAAGAAGUGUAAAAACUUUAAAAGUUUAAAAUAUCAUUUCAUUAUUAAUUAGUUUCCACUUGCCAACAUAGACUUCUCAUUCUAUUCAAACAAGUUUUUUGUACUUUUAUAUAUAUAUAUAUAUAUAUUUCAUAAACUUAACAAAGGAUACAAACAACAAAAGAAAAAAAAAAUUGAGCUACUAAACCUCAAUAUAAAUUUGGGGUGAAUUAUCAAGGUCUAUUAAGGAGCAUGGGGAAGUGUUGUAUCACAUAUCGAUGUGAAGAAGGUGUAUAUAUAUUUAUAGUAUAGGACCUAAGAUGUGAACGUUUCUUUUAAAGUUAGGUAAACAUUUCUUUCAAAAUUAAUGGAAUCUCACUAUGAUUUAUAUACACAUGCUUUCAGUGUCCAUAGAGGUUGAAAUAAUACGAUGAUUUUUAACUUAUAUCUUGCUUUUUAUAUGUGAUUUAAUAUUGUUUUGGAUUAUUGAUUAUGACUCAUGAAUUAUCAUGCAUGGAACUAAUCAAAAUGAUAUAAUUAAAUUAUAUUAAUGAAUUUGAGAUAGACAUGACAAUUAUUAAUUUAAAAUAUCUUAUAUGAACAUAAAAUUUUAAAUAUAGACUCAUAAUUUAUAUAUAUUAAUAUAAUAAAGUUGAAAAACUACGUUUAUCUCAAAUUUAUGCCUAGGGCCCAAAUUUUGCUGAGAGCCAGCCGGAUGUCAUCACAUGCAAGAAAGCUAGGAAACAAAGCUAAAGUUUGCUUCUUGUGUGGGAAGAGGUACUUCCGUGCUUGACUGAAAGAAAGGAUUUUCUACAAGAAAAAUUGUCCCCUUGUUUGUAAAGCCUCAAGUUGCGACAGCAAUAACGACAAAAGUAGGCCAAAGAAUUUGUCAUUAUUAUGAGACUAGAGAGGUUUUACUGAGAAGUUUUCCGAGCGUGAUAUCAGCAUUCGCUGUAUCACAGUGAUACAACAAAUGGUUUGAACACAGUGAUCUAGAACCCAUUAGCUCAAAUUUCAUUGAUCUGAACACGAUGAUCCUCAUCCGCAGACCAUUUUAGGGAAUGAUUAAUUCGAGCGAUUUUUUAACUGCCUGUACGAAGAACUUUAUCAAAAUUGGAUUCAGUGUAUCUUAACCAAUCUUGAUCAGUAUGCGACUGAUGAUUCUAUUUGAUAAAAGUAAUGCGGUGGCCCAACUUUAUCUUAAUUUCUAUGUUGAAAGUAACCAUAUAUUAUUCUAUAAUUAUAAAUAUAUACUGUGGAAUCAAGAUAACUUUGAUAUGCUAAGGAUCAAAAGAGGGCAGCCACUUUAGUAGUGGAUUAUACUAAAUAAAGCUGAUCGAUUAUUACAUUGGAAAAUAACAUUGAACCUAUCAUGAAAGACAACCCUACUGGACCAUGCCCCGAGUACUAAAUGCUGAUAAAAAACAAGUACAUGUUCCAAAGGAAUUGAGUCCAUAUAUACACAUUAGUGCUCAAAGAGAAAAACUAUAUAUCCACCGCUUAACUACAGUGAUCCUUUGAGCAGAAGAAGCUAGCCAUGUAUUUCCUUCUCCAAUACCUAAACAUCACCACGGUCGGAGUCUUUGCCACACUUUUCCUUUCCUACUGUCUAUUAUUAUGGAGGUCUAGAGCUGGUAACAAAAAAAUAGCACCUGAAGCUGCUGCUGCAUGGCCCAUAAUCGGUCACCUACACCUGUUAGCUGGUGGUUCUCAUCAGCUUCCCCACAUAACCUUGGGAAACAUGGCCGACAAAUAUGGACCGGUCUUCACAAUUCGGAUUGGGUUGCAUCGAGCUUUGGUGGUAAGUUCUUGGGAGAUGGCUAAAGAAUGCUCGACCGCCAAUGACCAGGUUUCAUCCUCGCGUCCCGAACUUUUAGCCUCAAAACAUUUGGGCUACAACUACGCCAUGUUUGGUUUCUCUCCAUACGGUUCUUACUGGCGUGAAAUGCGCAAGAUAAUCAGCCUAGAGCUACUCUCUAACAGCCGCUUAGAGCUGCUGAAGGACGUCCGAGCUUCAGAAGUGGUGACAUCCAUAAAAGAGCUAUACAAGCUCUGGGCAGAGAAAAAAAAUGAAUCGGGCCUUGUCUCUGUGGAGAUGAAGCAGUGGUUUGGAGACUUGACUCUGAACGUAAUUCUUAGGAUGGUGGCAGGGAAGCGUUAUUUCAGUGCUUCAGAUGCAAGUGAAAAUAAACAGGCGCAGAGGUGCCGGAGAGUGUUCAGGGAAUUCUUUCAUUUGUCAGGGCUCUUUGCGGUGGCGGACGCUAUUCCAUUUCUUGGAUGGCUCGACUGGGGGAGACAUGAGAAAACCCUAAAGAAGACAGCAAUAGAAAUGGACAGUAUUGCUCAAGAAUGGUUAGAGGAGCACCGUCGGAGGAAAGACUCCGGUGAUGAUAAUAGUACGCAAGACUUCAUGGAUGUGAUGCAGUCAGUUCUUGAUGGCAAAAACCUUGGUGGUUACGACGCUGAUACCAUCAAUAAAGCCACAUGCAUGCCUGGUAUGAGUUAUUAAUGAAGCACCCACGUACCAUUUAUAUUUGCAUAUUAUCAGGGCUAGCUUCUUUUCCACAGACAGUUUUUCUUUUGUUUAUAUGUUUUAAUUGAUGCAUAUUCACUUUCUUCUUCUCUUAAUUAAAUUGCAAUAAUUAAACAUACAAUUUAAAUAAAUUUUAAAUUUUAUUUUUAACUAAAAACAAAAGUAUACAUAUACAAAUAUAUAUUGCUUAAGCAAUUAAUUUUUAAAAAUUAUUCUUUCAGAACACCUUAGACAAGUUGAGACAUGCUUCGAGGGAAAUCUAAAUAUAAUGAUUUUAAAAGCUACUUUGUAAUUUUAUUUUCGAGCAUGUUGCAUAAUAUAUGCUUUCCUUGAAUUGAUUUUCUAAAUUUUAUUUUUGUCAGCAAGAAAGGGUUAUCUACGUUUUGGAAGUUAUCUUUAAUUUCCCCUGCAAAGAAUAAGUGUGUGGACCCUGCAUUUCGGCUCAAUGCGUUUCCCACUCGAUGGCGAGCUCGAUUUUUAUUUGAAAAAUGAUUUUUAUUGAUUAUUUAGAAAAUGACUUGGAGUCGCCACUUAUUUUUGUUUUAUUUUUAAAGGGUAAACAAAAUAAGAAAGAAAAACCCUAAGUGUGACUCCUUAUUUUGGAAAAGGUGGUCUGUGAAAAACUGAAUCGGGUUCAGGGGUCAGGUUACUUAUUGGGAAGGUACGGUAUGGACCGUAGCACCCCUCUAAGUCCCUAAAGUCGGGUCUCUACUAAUGAGAUGAAGCUGACAUGGCAAUCAAUGAGAAAAUCAAUGAAUACUCGAAUCAAUCAUGCACAUAUGAGAGACAAAGCAUGUAUAAAGAAUGAGCAAAAUAUGAAUAGAUGCGUACCUGGGCGACAAUCACGAAUGCGCUAUCAUGAAACAUGGUUAGUGAACAAUAAACAUAUAUAAUUAAGCGCAUAUCAAGGAAUAGAGUAAAUCAAUCAUGCAUGACAAAUAAAUCAAUCAAUCAUGGAAUCUCAUAUGUAGGGCCCCCACCAAAACCCAAUUCAUUUUUGCAUGAAUCAAUUCCAUAAAUUCCAUCACUUGGAAUUACGGAAUUUAAUUCUUACUUAUUUUUAAAACAUUUUAAAAACCAAGAAAAUGCACAAGUGGCUUGCCGGAAGGAAAAUGGCAACCAAAUUUUAUUGAAAAUGGGAUUUAAGAAGAUUAUUUUCAAGAAAACAGGGGAUGAGAGAAUAGAAGGAAAUGGCACAUGGUCAAGAGCUGCAUGCCUAAGGUGGCCAUGCAAAAACACUUCCCUCUAAGCUCAGGGUGGAGGGACUGCACUAUAAGGAUCAGUGGUGCUGCAGAGCUUGUCAGAACAGCUGAUGGCAUCAUAGGUGUUGCUCCUGAUUGCCUGAAAGAAUUCAUCUCUAAUGGACGGAAUCGAUUGCUCUACAUGAUUAUUCCAGAAGGUAAUGGUUGAGUCCUUAGCUUCACGAACCCAAUUUUUUAUGUCAUUACUUCCCAUCAAACUACCAUGACAUAGGAGCCACACUGAGCAAACUGAUGAGCCCGCUGCCCCACAUGUAUAGGGAAUCCAGUACAAAGUUAAUUUCCGCGGUUUACGAUGUUCGGAAACAAGGAUACUUAGGUAAGAAUCCAGCUUAUACAUGAUAAAUCACGNNNNNNNNNNNNNNNNNNNNNNNNNNNNNNNNNNNNNNNNNNNNNNNNNNNNNNNNNNNNNNNNNNNNNNNNNNNNNNNNNNNNNNNNNNNNNNNNNNNNGUGGAUGCCGCCUAUGAUACUAGCCUCAGAAAUCAUGCCAUUGACAUCGUUGUGCUUGUUACUAUUGCCAUCUCUAUCUCACAUGUGAGAGCCCUUGAUGGAAUCAAUUAAAAUAAUCCUUGAUAGAAACGUGGACUUCAUGUCUCAAAUCUGGCCUUUCAUAUCUCCUCAUUUGUCCAUGUCAACUAUUGUCACCAAGCCAUAAGCCUCUUGAUCCCAUGAUAACCCCAUUAUUCAACCCAAUACUUCAAUGAUGAUUCUCUUUCAUUUGCAUUCCUGACCUUCUCUUAUCUCCAUUACUGAUCCCAUGGAUGUUUACAGGAUUGAGUAUUUGGACGAGAGCAAACUUUGAUUAGAACCCUGUAUCAUGUUGAGUCUCUGCCAGCCUGGAAGGAUAAAAAUCACGUUGCCCCAUAUGGUGAGUUUUACUUUGAUUUACUCUUCCUCCUUGAUUCGUAUAAUGCAAGAAGGACAGGAGUUAAAAUGUCACGGAUAGCAUGAUGGCAAUGCCCAAAAGUAGCGUCAGUGUACAUUUGAGUCAAACGCGACUCCAUAUCAAACAUUGGCGGCCAGCGUCCAAGUCAAAGGGACGUAGUGCCCAUAAUUCACUGUUGAUAUUCUUCUUUCUGGGGAUGGAACAGAUCCAACUUCAAGGAUUGGGUGAGUCUCCUAAGAACUUUUCAUAAGGAUGGAUGACUGCCCAACAAUGCACUCAGGUUCCAUCAUUGCAAAGCCUCAACAGACUGCAUGCACCAUUCGUCGCGUACCUCACGACAAAUGUGAGUCUGGUUAAUCCCGUAGGAGGACUCCAAGCAGCAUGCAUAACGUACCUCUUCGGAAUAUCACAACGAGACCCACUGGUGCCCUCGUCUGAAUACCCCUCCGCCUCUCAUUCAAGUAAUGGGUGUUGGACCCAUGUAUGCAUGCAAAGAUGGAGGAGUGAAGUGGUGAGAGAAAGGAUGUAUGGAUUUAGCUGCGAGUAAGGUCACGGGUAUGGGAGGAUGGAUGCGGUGAAGACCUUUGAGGGUGAUGAAAAAUGGUGCAUGGAGUAAGAUAGGCUAAAGUGGAAAUGCGUGGUAGAAUGGGCAUAGGAGUAUCAUGAGAGAAGUGUGCAGGGACUACAUGCAUGUGGGUGGCUAGGGAAGUAAAAGAUGGGUUCAACAGUGAAACGUAUGGGAAUGAUGAGAGGGAAAGCGGAUUAGCAGAUGGGGUUAAUGAGUGAUAUGAAGAAUGGGGUAUGAGACCUGGGUAUAAGGUGAAAUGAAUAUGACAUGGUUAUGCAUGGCCAUGCCAUGGCCAUGCAAGAACAUGAUGGAAAGGGAGUGACGGAUGUAUGAAUAAUGGAGAGCAUGAGGAGGUAUGGGAUAGAUGAACAGGGCUGGAUGGUGGAUGAUGAAUAAGUAAUGGUGAAAUGGGUAUGAAAGAGUUUGAAGAGAGAGAAAAGGUGGUAAUGUGGAAUGGGUUUGAUAGGUGGGAGUACAAAGUGGGUAUGAAGAUGGGUAUGAAUGGUUUAGUAGGUACGAGACAAAUGGGUUAGAUGGAGGGUAUAAUGGGUGAUGUAAUGAUGGAAACCCGGGCGUUUAUUCAUCUUUGGAGGCACGAUACCCGGGUCAUGAACAGAUGGAUCACACUUCUUGGCCAGCUGCAUUCAGGCCAUAGUCAAUACAACCGACUUCGCUACCUCCAUUUCCAGGCACAGUGAUUGACACAAAGGAAGGUAACUUCCCAAUAAUCAAGCUUCUUUCGAUACAAGGUCUGCAUGGCUUAGCCGAGUUCAGUUUAGUUGGGUGUCGAAUCCCAUUGGUCAGUAGACCCAUUUGGAGCGAAACUGAACCCUUUAAUCCAAAUGGACCGUUACAGAGAGCACAAAGCAGCAGUAGGAUUAGCAAGACCCAGAGCAUAAGAGCGGGCUGUGACCAUGGCAGAGAUUCCAAAUUAGAAAGCAAGCACAAAACCAUCCAUGGAAGAGGUUAUCCAAGGUUUUGGAUGCUUAUGAAGUUUUCCCGCAAGUUGAACGAAUCUGUAACAGAGUGCCUUCUGAUCUAACCUGCAUAGUUUCAACAUGUACCACACCAUCCCCAUUCACGGUACCUCCAAUCACUAUGUCACCCUUCUUUCUUCGCCAUAGGCCUAGCAUCCUCUGUGAGCAUGUUCUUGAACCCACAAUCUCCCGCUUUACCUCAUGGAAACAUGUCAACCAAAAUAGCCCACCCAUCAAGUGACUGAUUCAACUCUGAUACCCGACAUCUCAGAUGCACCAACAACAGAAGCACAAAAGGGUAGGAAAUGGGGCCAAAACAGAAAAGAACGAAGGAAGGAUAAACGAGGAAUAAAGUAAAACAUAAGUGUAUAGAGCCUCAUUUCAGGUGACAUCCAUGGGCUUAUACAAGUGAGGAGAUCUCAAGUUAGAGUUACAGAAUAUAUGAGGAACCGAGUUCUAUUAACUCCAAGCCAAACCACAAGAACAGCAGUAAAAUCAACAACAAUAGAGUAUAAAAACGAUCCAGAAAUCAACAAAAUUCAGUACGUAUGACCCAACUCAAAUUGAUGAGCAAUGCAGAGCAAACCAAAAUGAGAAAAGGGUGAGAAAAAUAUGAAUCAAAGUAAGCAAGAAACUCACCUCAAACUCACCUGCAGACGCUCCUCUCUCUAUUCCUUCAUUCUCUAAGCUUCAGCUAGCCAAAAACAACGCCCAGAAUCUCCGUCACACAGCCACCCAAAACCUCCUCCUCUGCAGCCUCGAACCUCUCUGCCAACAAACAGCAACCAAAAGCACCUCCCCCUCUCGGAAACUUCUUUCUCCCUAAAAAAAAACUCUCAGACCAGCCUCUCUAAAGCUCCCCCUCUCUCAAGUUCACCGUCCAAAAUUACUCCUCUCAUGGAAAAACUCCCUGGAAUCCCCUCAGCAGCCCCGGUACCUCCAGCUAAAAGAAAAUCACCCCCCCCGGUUCUCAUGUCUCUCUCACCUUUUUUUCUCUCUAGCCAAAACCAGCUUUCUUUUCCUCCCUUUGGAAAUAUCUCCCUAACGGCCAGACGACACCCACCUGCCUUGCAGCUGCAAGCCUCCACUCCCCCCUAUGCAGCUGGCAGCCUCCCAAAAUCAACCCAACAAAAGCUCUUCCCCUAAAGAUUUCUGCCACCUUCCUCUUCUAGGCAAUAUCUCUUUUCUGUCCCGGAUUUGCCCCUCCAACAAUCCCUGUAGCCACCUCCAGCACCACUACACUCUGCAUGCAACUGGCAACACCUCCUAACGGAAAGCACGCUCCCUUCUUCUAGAAUGUUCUUCACUUUCCAGGUGUCUUCCUCUUAUUAGUCCAUCAAUUCCACCAUAGUGAUUCCACUAGUAGCCAACCCGAGAGUGACACGUGGCCAUGCGAGAUGGUGACACUUGUCCAGCAUCAGCUGCAAGAAUGACUCCCAAAAUGGGGGUCUACAACUAUGCCCAUUUUCGGUAGAGUUCACAAGUGUAAGGAAAAUGAACACUGGAAUGAAAGGUAGGUGUGAAUAGUGAGUGGAAUGAAGUGAACUCUACCGAAGAACCAAGGAGACCCCCAUAGGGACACUAGCAAAACACGAAUUCGCUCAGGCUGACAGACUGACACAAAGGCUCUGAUCCUAAAACAAAAUGAUGUCUCAAAAUGCCUCUGAGGCCAUACUAAGGAUCCAAGCUCCCUUUAACAUGCCUCCAAAAGUGACCCGAAGAUCGAUGUCAAAAGUGAGUAACGGUCGAACCACCCUGGAGUACGAACAAGAAUGCGUCUAAAGGAGACUGCCCUAUGUGGACUAUGAGAUGAAUAGGUGAUAAGCACAGGGUAACGAGGUGAGAAGAGUGAGAAUAAGUGCAAAUCCAUGAAGGUGAGAUGCGCAAUGCCAGUGAAUAUGAACGCUAGGGGCUGCGACUCUGAAUGACGAGACUGACCCUAAACGCUAAACUGAGAAAAACAAUGGCUCUGGAAGCCAGACCAAAAACUAACUCUAAAAACUAAACUAGAAUAACAGCUCUGGAAGUCAACCAAAAACUAACUCUAAAAGCUAAACUAGAAAACAACAGCUCUGGAAGCCAACCAAAAACUAACUCUAAAAACUAAACUAGAAAAUAACAGCUCUGGAAGCCAACCAAAAACUAACCCUAAAAGCUAAACUAGAAAACAAACAGCUCUGGAAGCCAACCAAAAACUAACUCUAAACUAGAAAAUAAUAGCUCUGGAAGCCAAACUGAAAACUAACUCUAAAAGCUAAACUAGAAAACAACAGCUCUGGAAGCCAAACCAAAAACUAACUCUAAAAACUAAACUAGAAAAUAACAGCUCUGGAAGCCAACCAAAAACUAACCCUAAAAGCUAAACUAGAAAGUAACAAACAGCUCUGGAAGCCAACCAAAAAACUAACUCUAAAAACUAAACUAGAAAAUAACAGCUCUGGAAGCCUAAACAAGUCGACAGUAACGACUCUGGAAGCCUAAACAAGAUGAUAGUAAUGGCUUUGGAAGCCUAAACAAGAUGACGGUAACGACUCUGGAAGCCUAAACAAGAUGAUAGUAAUGGCUCUGGAAGCCUAAAUAAGAUGACGGUAAUGGCUCGGAAGCCUAAACAAGAUGACAGUAACGACUCUGGAAGCCUAAACAAGAUGAUAGUAAUGGCUCUGGAAGCAUAAACAAGAUGACAGUAAUGACUCUGGAAGCAUAAACAAGAUGACAGUAAUGGCUCUGGAAGCAUAAACAAGAUGACAGUAACGACUCUGGAAGCCUAAACAAGAUGAUAGUAAUGGCUCUAGAAGCCUAAACAAGAUGAUAGUAAUGACUCUAGAAGCCUAAACAAGAUGAUAGUAACGACUCUGGACGUCGAAACUAAAAAGUGAUGAUGAUGACUCUGAACGUCAAACUGAGAAGUGAUAACGACUCUGAACGCCAAAACCGAGGAUGCGACUCUGAAUGUCGAUCUGAAAACCGAUGAUGGCUCUGAACGCCUAAACUGAGAAAUGAUGAUGAUGACUCUGAACGUCAAACUGAGAAGUGAUAACGACUCUGAACGCCGAAACCGAGGAUGCGACUCUGAAUGUCGAUCUGAAAACCGAUGAUGGCUCUGAACGCCGAAACUGAGAAGUGAUGAUGAUGACUCUGAACGUCAAACUGAGAAGUGAUAACGACUCUGAACGCCGAAACUGAGGACGCGACUCUGAAUGUCGAUCUGAAAACCGAUGAUGGCUCUGCACGCCGUAACUGAGAAGUGAUGAUGAUGACUCUGAACGUCAAACUGAGAAGCAAUGAUGAUGACUCUGAACGUCAAACUGAGAAAGUGAUAACGACUCUGAACGCCGAAACCGAGGAUGCGACUCUGAAUGUCGAUCUGAAAACCGAUGAUGGCUCUGCACGCCGUAACUAAGAAGUGAUGAUGAUGACUCUGAACGUCAAACUGAGAAGCAAUGAUGAUGACUCUGAACGUCAAACUGAGAAAGUGAUAACGACUCUGAACGCCGAAAUCGAGGAUGCGACUCUGAAUGUCGAUCUGAAAACCGAUGAUAGCUCUGAAUGCCGAAACUGAGAAGUGAUGAUGAUGACUCUGAACGUCAAACUGAGAAGUGGCUCUGAACGCCGAACUGAAAAAUGUGACAUGAUGACUCUGAAUGUCGUAAACCGUGAAUGAACGGCGACUCUGAACGCCAGACUGCAAGGAAACAAUGUGGGGGAAAUAUGCCCCAGUGUGACAUGCCGCUGCAAAUCUCAAACUGCUAGAAAUGGCUAAAAGGGACUCUACGAGUCUCGAAAGACGCACCACUAAGAGCUCAUGUCAAUGAAGAGCUCAGGAACAACGGUCAGUGAGGCGAAUACAAUAUAUCUCGGCCGAGUGAUGGAAACCGCGACGGACAUGUGAGAGAACGAUCGCCUCCAUGGCUAAAUGAGGGAAAUACGCCCCAGUAUGGCAUCAGAUGUACCCGAUCUGCCCUGAUGACCCGAGAAUAACACCAUGGGGAUGCAUAAAAGACCUGAUGUGUACCGCACUGAAAUGAUGACAUGGGGAUCCAAGCACUCGACAUAACCCCAUCCAGGAAUCACGACUAUAUCAAAGAGUAUGAAUCUGGCUGAACGAGUCAAGAGAGGCUCCUCGGAGUAUCAGGACAAAAUGAAAUCAAUCAUCAACCUGGCGUGUAUCUCAUAACUGUGGAUGAUCAUGUAAACCAGUGGGGAUCUAUAAAUCUCGAUCAAGAUGGGGAAUAUGCCCCAGUGUGGCAUCGGAAAUGUAACAUGUCGAAAAAUCAGCUGAGCUCAAAUCAUCUAUGCCUGCAACUAGCUAGAUGGCUCUCGAUAGGCUCCACUAAGGAAUCAUCGCGAGGAUAGCGAAUAUAUCAUCAUCCCUGUAUACAUCUCGCAAAUAAGGAUAAGCACGCAACUUCCUCAUGAUCUGUAAAUCUCAUCCGAACGGAAAUAUGCCCCUGUAUGGCAUCGAAAUGUAGGAUAGGUCGGAGAUCAGAUAGCAUGGAAUCAUCUAUCUUAGAACAUGUGACCUCUGCGAAAAUCCAUAAAGAUCCUCCGAAACGGAAUAUGCCCCAGUAUGGCAUCUGACGUGCGACAAACCAGGAAAAACAGGUGACAUCGAAUCAUCCCUCAUCAAACACGUGAUCCUGGUAAUCCAAACACGGUCGAAACGGAUCUAAACAUCUGAGAAGUGUUUCUCAGAAGAAGAUGCAUGGCAAAUAUCUGGAUGUCAACUGAAUCUCAAACACCUGUCCACAUAGAAGCCGUAGAAGACGAUAUCUGAUCCCAUGGCCUCAGGGUGGUCUUAAGACACAGGACGUAAUGUAGGCUAGGGUGAUAGGGUGAUAGAAACGAAGGGAAACUAAGCUCAAAUACCCAAUGAUCAAAACCCAUGCCCUCGUGUGUGAAAUGCAACAUGUACAGAAAAUCCUGUGAGCCCUGGACCUGAGGGUGUCUAAUGUGAAUAUGAUGUCAAUGAGGAAACAAGUGAAGCAAAUCAAACUGAUAAUGAGAUAUGUAAUGGUGAUACGAAGGGAAUAUCAAACCCGAGAUGGGUCUGGUAAGAAAAGAAUGAGAAGUGAAGUGAGAAUGACGAAUCAGAAGCGAAAACGAGGACGAUGAUAAUGAAGCGAAUAACAUCAAAAGGAGUGAUGAUCAACUCAGAUCAGACAUGGAGUGAUGUCACAUCAACUACGAACAUAAUGAUGGAACGUACAAUAACGCAGAGCUCCUAAGAGAAAGUCACUCAUCUCGCUCACAAAAUAUGCAACAAAAUGAAUACAAAGCCUGAGGGAUCCAGGGAAGCUCACAUACGAACUCCCGUCAACAAACAUACUCGAUCAAGUGACCCUCGAAUAUCAAUACAUACACUCAGUGAUGGAUAACAAAACACACUUGAUUUUUAUUUCUUUUUCCAUUUUUUUUUUUUCAUUUUUUUCAUUCAUUUUUUUUUUUUUUUACAACAUAUAAAUGAACUGUACAUGAUCUGAAUGCAUACAAAGAAGACCCAAAGACGGGAUCAAAAAUGAAUAAACAUGCCCUCAAAUAUCAAUAUAUCACAAACUCAAUCUAAUGAGAUGAGGUGACCUUCUCAAACUGAGGAUCCCUGGAUCAGUGUCCGUGGGAUAGAUAGUGGAAAUGGCGUGACUACCCUCCAUGUGAUGAAAUGAGGAGGAUCACCCCUCGGGGUGAAAGAAGAUGACAUGAAACGAAUAGUAGAUAAGAUAAAGAAAAUAUGAUGAAUAACACGAACAGUGAGAUGAGAUGAAAUGCAAUGAUGCAGUGGUGAGCACAGAUAAUGAGAAGAACGUGCCCCUAGGUCCAAGGCUCAUGAAACUCUCAAACAAUGCAUGCAUACACUAAAGGGCCCCAAUCCCGGUGUGAAAAUGUGAGCAAGGCUAUAGAAAAUGAAGGCUAUGAUGCGCGUGUGAGGCUCAAAUGGGCUAGCAAUGGACUAUAUAUAUCAGAAACGGGAUAAAGGGAUAUAGCUAACCGAAAUGAUGGCCACCCAUCCUGCGACCAUGGACUCAAACGUAGUACCUCUUUAGCUGAUCCACAUUGGUCGGCUCUGAGAACUGGUUUCCAUCUAAAUCCAUCAGCCAUGCAGCGCCCUCUGGAGUCAACUUCCUGAUGAAAUAAGGUCCGCUCCAACUAGGUCUGAACUUCCCUCUAGGAUCUCUGAUCAAUCCUCUGAUGACUCUCAAAACUAAGUCACCUACAUGCAGUGGUCUAGGCUUGACCUGCUUUUUGAAAGCGCGGGCCAUCUUCCUCUGAUAUGCACGAACGUGGUCUGCUGCUCUCAAUCUCCUCUCAUCUAGGAGAUUGAGCUGAUCAAAUCGAGCCUGAGCCCAAUCCGUCUGGGGAAUCUGCUGCUCUAGUGCUACUCUCAAUGAUCCCAUCUCAAUCUCAACAGGUAGCACUGCCUCCAUGCCGUACACCAAUGAAUAGGGUGUGGCUCCUGUAAAGGUGCGAAAAGAAGUCCGAUAUGCCCACAAUGCGAAAGGGAGCUUCUCUGACCAAUCCCGAGAAGUCUCAACCAUCUUUCGCAAUAUCCUCUUAAUAUUCUUAUUCGCGGCCUCUACUGCCCCAUUCGUCUGCGGCCUGUACGCAGACGAUCUAUGAUGCCGGAUGCCGUAUCUCUGCACCAAGGUGUCAACCUCUGCUCUGAAAUGCACCCCUCUGUCUGAAAUAAGCUCGUGAGGGACUCCAUAGCGACAAAUGAUGUGCGAUCUAAUGAAACUGACAACUCCAGAUGACGUCAAUCUCGCAUACGAGGCGACCUCCACCCACUUGGUGAAGUAAUCAAUAGCAACAAGGAUAAACUCAUGACCACUGGAAGAUUUCGGUGAAAUCUUCUCGAUGAUAUCGAUACCCCAUACUGAAAACGGCCAUGGUGAAGUCAAUGCAUGCAACUCCGAGGGCGGCACGUGAAUGAGAUCUCCAUGUAUCUGACACUCGGGACAUCUCUGAACGAACUGGCAACAAUCUGUCUCCAUGGUCAACCAAAAGUAUCCUGUCCUCAUGAUCUUACGGGCCAACAUAUGCCCCCCAUAUGUGGUUCGCAGACUCCCGCAUGAACCUCUCGCAUAACUCUAUCGGCAGAAGCGCGAUCCAAACAUAAUAGCAGUAUCCCAUCAAAUGAUCGUCUAUAUAGCGUCUCGCCACAAAUCACGAAUCGGGUGGCCAACUGUCUCAAUGCCCUCCUAUCCUUGGCCGUGGCGGCCUCAGGAUAUAUGCCGAGUCUCAAAAAGUGAUAUAUGUCAUGAUACCAGGGCAAACCAUCGUCUAUCUCCAUAUCAUCAAUCAAACAACAAUACGCAGGAGCAGAUCUCGACUCAAUCAACAAAGGGCGAACAGUGGCAUCAGCGGGAAUGUCGAUCAUGGAAGCUAGAGUAGCUAAAGCAUCAGCAAACUGGUUUUGCGCUCUAGGCAGAUGUGUAUAUCUCAAAUCCUCAAAUCUCGCGACCAGUAGCUCCAAAUACGCGUGGUAAGGCCUAAGCUUCACAUCUCUAGUCUUCCACUCGCCUUGAAUCUGUCUCAAUACCAGAUUGGAGUCACUAAACACCUCCAUCUGUCUAAUCCCAAGCUCGAGGGCUGUCUCUAACCCCAAGAUACAUGUCUCAUACUCAACAAUGUUGUUCGUGGCUGGAUGUCGAUCCGAGAAUGCCAAACGAACAGAUCUGGGAAUGUGAUCACCAUGAGGGGAUAUCAACAAAACGCCUAUCCCGUAUCCAGAAUGGUUGGCUGCACCAUCAAAGUACAUGCGCCAACCCGACAGACUAGUCGCAGCUGCGACGUCCUCGUCUGGAAAAUCAUCGUCAAUAGCUCUGGCAUCAGAAACUGGUAAUGAGGCUAAGUGAUCUGCGACAAUGCUCCCUCUGAUGGACUUCUGAGUGACAUAAUGAAUGUCAAACUCAGUCAGAAGUACCAGCCAUCUCAUAAGGCGACCAACUAGAGCGGGCCUGUCAAACAAAUAUCUCAAAGGAUCAAGACGAGAUAUCAAAUGCACUGAAUACUCGGUCAUGUAAUGUCUCAAUCGGCGAGUGGCCCAAACCAAUGCCAAGCAGUAGCGCUCAAUCGUGACGUAUCUCGUCUCGUAAUCUAGCAUCCUCUUGCUCAGAUAAUAAAUGGCUCGAUCUUUGCCCGAAUCAUCGAGCUGAGCUAACAUGCAACCUAAAGCCACAUCCGAAACUGAUAGGUAUAGGAGUAGAGGAUGGUCUGGUGUAGGCGGAGCCAAAACUGGAGGCGACAACAAGUACUCUCGGAUCCUCUCAAAUGCGCGCUGACACUGAUCAUCCCAAACAGUAGGUUGACUCUUCCUCAAGAGUCGGAAAAUGGGCUCACAAAUGUCUGUCAAUCUGGCUAUGAAUCUACUGAUGUACUGAAGUCUGCCCAGGAAGCCUCUGACCUCUCUCUCUGUCCUCGGUGCAGGCAUGUCAAGGAUGGCUCUAAUCUUGUCCGGAUCUACCUCUAUGCCUCGCUCACUGACCAUGUACCCCAAGAGUUUCCCAGAAGUCACUCCAAAAGUGCACUUCUUGGGAUUCAGCCUCAAUCUAAAUUGUCUGAUCCUCUCAAAGAACCUCUCAAGAGCUGCCAAGUGAUCUGAUCUAUCUCGGGAUUUCACUAUCAUGUCGUCUACAUAAACCUCGACAUCCCGAUGCAUCAUGUCAUGGAAGAGUGUGGUCGCUGCUCUCUGAUAGGUGGCUCCUGCGUUCUUCAAUCCGAAUGGCAUGACUCUAUAGCAAUAAGUACCCCACUCGGUAAUGAAGGACGUCUUCUCCAUGUCCUCUGGAGCCAUCAAGAUCUGACUAUACCCGGAAAAUCCGUCCAUAAAGGACAACAUCGAGUGACCUGCUGUACUGUCAACUAACAUGUCGAUGUGUGGGAGAGGAAAAUCAUCUUUAGGACUGGCCUUGUUGAGAUCUCGGAAAUCAACACAGACUCUCACCUUGCCGUCUUUUUUGGGAACAGGGACGACAUUGGCCAGCCACUCUGGGUACUCGACUACUGAUAGAAAUCCUACACUGAGCUGCUUCUGAAUCUCCUUUUUCACCUGCAAGCUCCAACGAGGGUGCAAUCGUCUCAACCUCUGCUUAACCGGUCUGGCAUGGGGCAGAAGUGGCAAACGAUGCUGGACGAUGGAUGGAUCAAGGCCCGGCAUGUCCUCAUAGGACCAUGCGAAAACGUCCAAGUAGGAUCUGAGCAGCUGGAUGAGACUAUCUCUCUCAUCUGAGGAUAAAUCUGACCCGAUCCUCAACUCCCUAGGCUGAUCUGCGGUGCCGAAAUCAACAAUCUAUGUGUCUCCUACAGCAGGUGAAACCCUCUGAUCAACGGGAUCCGAAUCGGAAACAGAAGAUGAGUCAUCAUCUGAGUCGUGCUGUGCAAUCUCAUCAUCAAUAUCAAAAAUCUGUGAUGUGGGUGAAGAUGGUGCAGAUAAAUCAAUAUCACAAGAGACAGGCAGGUACUAAAAAAUGCUCAAAUCCAUAGAUGAAACAUCGGAAACAAUGUCAGAACGGGAGACAAACCCCGACUGAACGUCAAAUGAAAGAGGUGGGUCCACAAAGUCGGACGCUUCCUCAACAAUGCCAACAUGGCUAUCAAUCAAAUCAUAAAAAACUAUAGCAUCCUUAGUAAUCUCCAGAGCAGGGGCUGUCUGGAUCUCCUCAACGAUCUCGAUGAAAGACACCCCGAAAAGAUCGAAUGGUGAAGUGAGCCCAGGAUGAACUCUCUCCUCGAUCGGGCCCAGGCUCAGGGCGAGCAUCUCGUCGAUGUACUCGUCGUGUGGGACGGCUCCGUCCACUAUGUCUCCGACCCCAGCAAAGGUCUCAUGCUCAUCGGUCUCGUCCGGGAAGCAAAGCGUUAUAAGGCUCGUGCGAUCUGGAGACGAAGGAGCAAUCAACACAGAAGUCGAAGAGCCAGGAGCUCCAUCUCUCAAUCGUAACUGAUGGACAAGGCGCUGAAGCUCGACCUCCUGAGUGGUGCUAAGUCCUCCAAUGAUCACGUCCGCACGGGUCAAUGGCUCUGAUGCCCUCACAAAAUAAUCAGAUAAGCUCCUGGUGUAUGGGCGAAGAGGAUAGUAGAAAGGUGUGUGGGUCAGUCACUCUCUCCUUGCGCAAACGCGCCAUGUAGAGAUAAUCGGCCUCAAUGGGGAUGAACCCGAGUCCGAACGGUACGUCGUGAUCAGGGAUGGCUAUGAACUCGCUCGGUCCAUGCUGACAUCGACCCAACCCCAUGCCGGGUAGAUAGGACAUGCUUCGCAUAAUAUCGAGCACCACUGUGCUCCCAUGCCGGUCAAAGGACAUGGCCACAAAAUCCCGGCAGAAAUCCUCUAUCUCCACAGUCUGCACCUCAUCGAAGGUGAAUUCAGUCAGAAAAAGAUCGUCAUCAGUGUGACUAAUCUCGAGCACAGGCUCGGCAACAAUGAACAUGUCUCCCACAGACUGUACCACGACGACCUGACCAUCGUGAAUAAACUUCACCUUCUGAUGAAGGGAAGAAGGAAUGGCCCCGGCUCUAUGGAUCCAUGGUCGGCCCAGAAGCAGGUUAAAGGAUGUAGGAAUCCUCAAAACCUGGAAUACAGCGACAAAAGUGGCCGGACCGAUCAGCAACUCGAUCUCCAAUGUACCCAUGACCUCUCUACGGGUGCUAUCAUAAGCUCGGACGGUCUGAGUGGAGGGACCGAAAUCAGAAGGAGCGUAUCCAAGGGCGAUGGCAGUGGCAAGAGGACAUACGUUCAGGGCCGAGCCAUUGUCCAAAAGGACAGAUGGGACUCGGCGGCCUGAACAGCCAACAGAUAUGUAGAGCGGACGAGUGUGGUCCGAGCCCUCCGGUGGCAAGUCAUCAUCGGAAAAGACGAUACAAGUGGCUCUGCCAGCCGUCAUCAUAUGAAGGAGUCCCUCGGGAGUGGUCGUGGUAUCAACUCUGAUCUGGCUCAGAGCUCGAGUCAGUGCGUCCCGAUGGGUACUGGAAGACGCUAAAAGGCUCCAGAUAGAAAUACGAGCCUGAGUGCUCUGCAACUGCCUCAAAAUCUCGUCAUCCUCUGCUCUCACCUCCUCCUGGGAUGACGUACCCCCUAAGGGUCUAGCGGGAGCGGCUGGAGGUGGCUGUCUCACUACUCUCCCUCCCCGGAGGAUAUACUAAACGUCCGGAGUCUGAGGAUCAUCACUAUGUGGAGCCUGAACCUCCUCAACAUCUGGGAUCAGAAUGUACGGCGCCUGAACGCUAUAGCGUGUGAAUGUCAGAGGCUCGGAAGUGGCCGCCUGUACAGAUGCUGCCUCAGGAACUAAUCGGAAUGGAGCAGGCAUCUGUGGCUCUAGAGUCACCCCACUCGUCUCGUAAAUCACAGCUGGCAUGAUAGGCUCUGGGUCUGGAUCAUCCCAACUCAACAUAUGGACAUGAUCAUCAGUCUCAUCGAAGUCCAAGAAAUGAAUACCACAAGCUGGUGGAGGAACUGCAUGUGUGGUGUGGGUCGGCAACGGGUUUGUGGUCACACUCGGCUGACCCAAGUGUACCAAACCCUGGUCUAUCAGAUCCUGAAUAGCGUGCCUCAGAGCGGUGCAUCGAUCGGUCUCAUGUCUAGGCCCCUGAUGAUAAGCACAGUGUAAAUCCAUCCUGAACUGAGCUGGAAUAGGCUGAGGUAGUGGCCGAGGGGUGAGAGCAGUCAAUAAACCAGCCUCCGUAAGCUUCCGAAGAGCCUGGCUCAACGGCAUGCCUAUCUGCGAGAACUGCCUCUGCGUCCUCAAAGUAAACGGAGCAGAAGUCUGCUGGGCUCCAGGUCGGGGAUAAGGCGCCGCAGGUCUCGCGGUGAACUGAGCAGCGUAGCAUGGCUGCCCUGUGGCUGUGUAGGAGACCGCGGGUCUCUCAAUGCCCUGAGUGGCAUAAGAAGGUAAAACCAAUGUCUGUGGCAUGUGUGUCUGAUCGUAAGCCGGACGAGGUGCCCGUGGCCUGUACUGAUGAGAUGCAUAGGAAGAAUGAGGCUCGAAAAACUGUGGGAUCGGCUGAUGGCGUCUAAGAGGCCUCUGACUGGAUGAACUGAUAGCACCAACCUCUGUCGGUCUCGGUCCUACGAAUAGUUUCUUCCCCUUAACAUCACUAGGGGAAGAAUCUGCCCAUAAACCUCUCGUGAUGCCGUCCUCGACAUCAUACAAAGCCAUAACCAGAGACCCAAAAUCUGUGAACGGGACCCCGACCACAUGUCUGGCGAUCCCCGGCUGUAGGCUCCUCAAAACCAUCUGAAUCUAGUCUCUCUCUGAUGGUCUAUCCACUAUCUCAGCUAUCUUCCCGCGCCAGCGGGAAAUGAAAGAAGAAACGGACUCCUCUGUCCUCUGCCUUAGAGCCUCGAGCUCUCUCCUCGAUACAUCUACAACAGUGUUAAACGAAAACUGUCGUAGGAACUCCUGGGCCAAGUCAUCCCAUGUACGGCGUCUCGAGGACUCCAGAGACGCAAACCAGCGCUGAGCUGCCCCACUCAGAGAUAGGGGGAAAAGAGUGAUCAUUUGAGGCUCGUCCAGUCCAUGAGCCCUCAUCACGGUGCUAUAAAGUCUGAGGUGGAGGCGCGGACAACCAAUACCAGUGUACCUCUCAAUAUCUGGCAUCCUGAACUUAGUUGGCAAGCUGGCUACCGGCAUACCCCCAAAAUCAUCCCAAACAACUGAUCCAUCUGACACUCUCAUCUGCCUCAUACACUGCUCGAUGCGGUCCAUGCGGGCAUGCGUGUCAUCAGCGACAACGGCCUGGGCGACUACGGGUGGAGUGAUCUCAGAAUGCCCGUGUAAUACAUAUGGUGAUGCCUGAUGCACUGAAGGAACGAGUGGGGGUGGUGGAGGUGGGUGUGAGUCAUAUGGCGUCUCAUCCUGGACUGCUGGUGGUCUACCCUACUGACCACCGAUCUCCUGCCUGAGGCUAGCCAAAGCCUCCUGGAUAGAAGCCAUGGCAGCCGUGAACUGAUCGACCGUGACAACCUGCUGAUCCAUAUCUGGUGUAUCUGAAACCCGAACUAAUCUGCCCUCUACUCUGAUCCACGAAACUAUACCCAGACUGAGAGUAAAAAUCCUGAUCCUGAAAGUACUCCUCUUCUGCUCUGAUCCACAAAGGUAUAUCAAGACAAGGAACAAAUGUCCUAUCCUACAAAGCACGAAGAACGUAAUAAGGAUAUGGCCCGGGGAACGUAUAGAAGAAAAGAUAAUCUGAACAGGAACAAGCAAAGCAUCCAAGUGAAGAUGAGCGAUCCGACCGUACUCAAACUCGUCCUGAUCUCAGUGCACUCUCAACUGGAGACUAAACAGAGGGAAAAUCGGAUCCAAAACUGCGGCUACAGAGGCACGGAAAGCCCUCAGAUGCACCCACGUGUAGGGAGGGAAUCCUAAUCGAAGGAUCUACGGCUCAACCUACAAGGUCAAGGUGGCUCUAAAUGGAUAAGGGUGGACUUUAAAAUAUCCCUAGCAGAAGCGAUUAUACCCUCCGACGGUACGCAACCCUCUGCACGUCUCCGAAGAGACGGGGCGCUUCCAUGCAAGGUGGUCAUCACCUCCACACAUGCACUACCUCGCAUCCCAGGGGGUUUCCUAUGGUGAAACCUCUCAAACUCUCAACACUCAAUAGUCGACUAGAGUGCACAGUGAAUGGUGUGGGUGCAUCCGAAACCCUAAAAAGCUAAAGCAGGAUAUGAAACACACUGGCCACACAAAUAUCCAUGAAACCUAGCUUCGGGCUAUACAGGUCUUCAAUGAUCGGACUCCAAUCGACAUCAAAGUGUCGCUCUCCUCCAAAAUGCUCCCGUGCAUCGAUAUAGCCCAUCGCUAGACCCUACUCCUAAUCUCCGGCUCGGUCAAAGAGCAAGCACACAGAAGGUCUCACACUUGCAAUAGUGAGAACCGAAAUGAAAGGAAUGACCGAAACCAAGAGAGUUGGAGGUAGGGGGAUAGAAGUGAGACCCACAUAGACAGGCAACAUGCAAUCAUACAGAGGGAGGGCAGUCAUGCAUCAUACGGUCAAGCAGAGUAUAGGAUAUAUCACUCAUGUCCACACAAAAAAAAAAGCUACAACUAUCAGGAUGAAUAGUGAUAUGAACAUCAUGCUCAAAAGAUGAUCUAGAUAAUAUGCAGGUCAGAGAAAACAACACAGCAAGUCAAACGAUGUACAAUAGUGAGUCUAUGCAUGUGAAGUGAGCAGAAUAAUCAGGAAGAAACAGAAUCGCUUUACCAAGCAAAACAAGGUGAGCAACCUAUGAUAAUCGGCAUGUCAAUGUACCAAACUAAUAUAGCAAUGAAGUACAAAAAAAACGACAUCCGAAGCCCCAAAUCAAGAUGAUCAAUCAUAUCAAUGUCACAACAUAAUAUCCAAGCAUACAUAAAAAAAACUCUCAAUGUGCAAUCAAGAGACAGGUACUCGCUGAUCGACUCAUCAAAUGCCCUGUUUGCUUCAUCUUAAGUUCAAGCUUGACCCUCUAACUCAUCCCCAGCGGAGUCGCCAUUUUGUGGACCCCGCAUUUCGGCUCAAUGCGUUCCCCACUCAAUGGUGCAUGCAGUCUGUUGAGGCUUUGCAAUGAUGGAACCUGAGUGCAUUGUUGGGCAGUCAUCCAUCCUUAUGAAAAGUUCUUAGGAGACUCACCCAAUCCUUGAAGUUGGAUCUGUUCCAUCCCCAGAAAGAAGAAUAUCAACAGUGAAUUAUGGGCACUACGUCCCUUUGACUUGGACGUUGGCCGCCAAUGUUUGAUAUGGAGUCGCGUUUGACUCAAAUGUACACUGACGCUACUUUUGGGCAUUGCCAUCAUGCUAUCCGUGACAUUUUAACUCCUGUCCUUCUUGCAUUAUACGAAUCAAGGAGGAAGAGUAAAUCAAAGUAAAACUCAUCAUAUGGGGCAACGUGAUUUUUAUCCUUCCAGGCUGGCAGAGACUCAACAUGAUACAGGGUUCUAAUCAAAGUUUGCUCUCGUCCAAAUACUCAAUCCUGUAAACAUCCAUGGGAUCAGUAAUGGAGAUAAGAGAAGGUCAGGAAUGCAAAUGAAAGAGAAUCAUCAUUGAAGUAUUGGGUUGAAUAAUGGGGUUAUCAUGGGAUCAAGAGGCUUAUGGCUUGGUGACAAUAGUUGACAUGGACAAAUGAGGAGAUAUGAAAGGCCAGAUUUGAGAGAUGAAGUCCACGUUUCUAUCAAGGAUUAUUUUAAUUGAUUCCAUCAAGGGCUCUCACAUGUGAGAUAGAGAUGGCAAUAGUAACAAGCACAACGAUGUCAAUGGCAUGAUUUCUGAGGCUAGUAUCAUAGGCGGCAUCCACCAGGCCAUUUUGAUCCAUAAGAAAGGUAGCAAAGUGCAUCGGGGCUUCCUCUUCGUUUUGGGUGGAAUGGUGAUCUUUGUGUUCCUCAACGACAUCCAUGGAGUGGAGUAGAUUGUUUAUUUGACAGUAGCAAUUGCAAAUGGGUCAUUAAUGGACUUGGUUUUGAUUACCAGGGCUUGAGAGGUUUCUUACCGAAUGAUAUAUCCCAAUCGCGCCAUCUACAUGCAACACGUCAGAAUGAUUCUUCUGUGGAUGGGAGCUAUUCAUGUCCUCUGGUGUUUGAGAAACUGCCAGACGUAAACCAGGAAGGGUCCCAGUGGACAGAUUGUGAAAUUCGAGAGACCAUCAACGUGAUUUAUCAUGUAUAAACUGGAUUCUUACCUAAGUAUCCUUGUUUCCGAACAUCGUAAACCGCGGAAAUUAACUUUGUACUGGAUUCCCUAUACAUGUGGGGCAGCGGGCUCAUCAGUUUGCUCAGUAUGGCUCCUAUGUCAUGGUAGUUUGAUGGGAAGUAAUGACAUAAAAAAUUGGGUUCGUGAAGCUAAGGACUCAACCAUUACCUUCUGGAAUAAUCAUGUAGAGCAAUCGAUUCCGUCCAUUAGAGAUGAAUUCUUUCAGGCAAUCAGGAGCAACACCUAUGAUGCCAUCAGCUGUUCUAACAAGCUCUGCAGCACCACUGAUCCUUAUAGUGCAGUCCCUCCACCCUGAGCUUAGAGGGAAGUGUUUUUGCAUGGCCACCUUGGGCAUGCAGCUCUUGACCAUGUGCCAUUUCCUUCUAUUCUCUCAUCCCCUGUUUUCUUGAAAAUAAUCUUCUUAAAUCCCAUUUUCAAUAAAAUUUGGUUGCCAUUUUCCUUCCGGCAAGCCACUUGUGCAUUUUCUUUGUUUUUAAAAUGUUUUAAAAAUAAGUAAGAAUUAAAUUCCGUAAUUCCAAGUGAUGGAAUUUAUGGAAUUGAUUCAUGCAAAAAUGAAUUGGGUCUUGGUGGGGGCCCUACAUAUGAGAUUCCAUGAUUGAUUGAUUUAUUUGUCAUGCAUGAUUGAUUUACUCUAUUCCUUGAUAUGCGCUUAAUUAUAUAUGUUCAUUGUUCACUAACCAUGUUUCAUGAUAGCGCAUUCGUGAUUGCCGCCCAGGUACGCAUCUAUUCAUAUUUUGCUCAUUCUUUAUACAUGCUUUGUCUCUCAUAUGUGCAUGAUUGAUUCGAGUAUUCAUUGAUUUUCUCAUUGAUUGUCAUGUCAGCUUCAUCUCAUUAGUAGAGACCCGACUUUAGGGACUUAGAGGGGUGCUACGGUCCAUACCGUACCUUCCCAAUAAGUAACCUGACCCCUGAACCCGAUCCGAUUUUUCACAGACCACCUUUUCCAAAAUAAGGAGUCACACUUAGGGUUUUUCUUUCUUAUUUUGUUUACCCUUUAAAAAUAAAACAAAAAUAAGUGGCGACUCCAAGUCAUUUUCAAAUAAUCAAUAAAAAUCAUUUUUCAAAUAAAAAUCGAGCUCGUCAUCGAGUGGGAAACGCAUUGAGCCGAAAUGCGGGGUCCACAAAGUGAUCUUGAAAAUUAUAAGUUAAUUAUGUUUACUUGAAUAAGAGAUUUGAAUAAUCUUGUAAAAAGAUGAUGUUUGUCGUUUAAGUGGAAGGUUGAUUUAGAAAUUAUCAUACAGGGAAAUGGAAAAAAAUACUAUUAUUUUGGUACAAGACCAUAUUAUUCAGUGGUGUCUCUAGAAAGUUCCAUUAGAUGCUAUUAAACAAUUAAUUUGGUGUCUCACUUGCAUAAUUUUGAGUUAUUGGAUUUUGGGUUUUGCAGACUCUAAUCUCCGGAGGUAACGACACAACUGUUGUCUCUCUGACAUGGGCACUCUCUCUUGUACUAAACAACCAUGACACCUUAAAAAAAGCUCAACAAGAAUUAGACAUCCAAGUUGGGAAGGAAAGAUUAGUGAAUGAACAAGAUAUAGGUAAGUUGGUCUAUCUCCAAGCCAUUGUUAAAGAGACAUUACGGUUAUAUCCAUCAGGACCACUUGGAGGACUACGCCAAUUUACCGAGGAUUGCACCUUAGGUGGAUACCAUGUCUCUAAAGGCACCCGUUUAAUAAUGAACCUUUCGAAGAUCCAAAAGGAUCCAAGAAUUUGGUCAAAUCCAACAGAAUUCCAACCAGAGAGGUUUCUCACCACCCAUAAAGAUGUUGAUCCUUGGGGAAAACAUUUUGAAUUUAUACCAUUUGGAGCUAGUCGAAGAGUAUGUCCAGGAAUAACUUUUGGUCUUCAAAUAUUACAUUUAACAUUAGCUAGUUUCUUACAUGCGUUUGAAUUUUCAACUCCAUCAAAUGAAUAGGUCGAUAUGCGCGAGAGCCUUGGACUUACAAACAUGAAAUCUACCCCACUUGAAGUUCUCAUUUCUCCACGCUUAUCUUCUUGUAGUCUUUACAAUUAAAACAUUGAAACGAAUAGGUCAAGUCGGUCUUGCUAGUCUUGGUUUAAAGACAUAUGGAGUUAGGUUCAAUCAAUCUAUGACAAGAUUUGGGAUUGUAUUAAAAGUAGGUUGGACUAAGAAUGAUGUAUAAUAAACUAAAGUACUAUUUAUGUCAAUAAAGUAUAGCUUUAUAUAUUAUUUGGUUAUCCUUGCUCUCCGUCUAGGCUCUCAUGGGUGCAAGGCCUACCCAUGAGGCCCUUUUCUCCAAAUUUGAGUCAAGUGGCUAAGGGGCUUACAACUAGCUUCUUUGCCAUAGACAAAUUUUCUUUUGUUUAUAUGUUUUAAUUGAUGCAUAUUCACUUUCUUCUUUUCUUAAUUAAAUUGCAAUAAUUAAACAUACAAUUUAAAUAAAUUUUAAAUUUUAUUUUUAACUAAAAACAAAAGUAUACAGAUACAAAUAUAUACUGCUUAAGUAAUUAAUUUUUAAAAAUUAUCCUUUGAGAACAUCUCAGACAAACUGAGACAUGCUUCCAGAGAAAUCUAAAUGUAAUGUUUUUAAAAGCUACUUUGUAAUUUUAUUUUCGAGCAUGUUGCAUAAUAUAUACUUUCCUUGAAUUGAUUUUCCAAACUAUAUUUUUAUUAGCAAUAAGGGUUAUCUACGUUUUGGAAAUUAUAAGUUAAUUAUGUUCACUUGAAUAAGAGAUUUGAACAAUCUUGUAAAAAGAUGAUAUAUAUAUAUAUAUAUAUAUAUAUAUAUAUAUAUAUAUAUAUAUAUAUAUAUAUAUAUAUAUAUAUAUAUAUAUAUAUAUAUCGUAUGGCUGAUUUGGAAAUUAUCCAAAAUGGAAAAAAAUACUAUUAUUUUGGUACAAGACCAUAUUGUUCAAUAGUGUCUCUAGAGAGUUCCAUUAGAUGCUAUCAAACAAAUAAUUUGGUGUCUCACUUGCAUAAUUUUGAAUUGUUCGAUUUUGGGUUUUGCAGGCUCUAAUUGUCGGAGGUAACAAUACAACUGUUGUCUCUUUAACAUGGGCACUCUCUCUUUUACUAAACGUACAACCACGACAUCUUAAAAAAGGCUCAAGAAGAAUUAGAUAUCCAAGUUAGCAGGGAAAGAUUAAUGAAUGAACAAGAUAUAAGUAAGUUGGUCUAUUUUCAAGCCAUUGUUAAAGAGACAUUACGGUUAUAUCCACCAAGACUACUUGGUGGACUAUGCCAAUUUACUAAGGAUUGCACCUUGGGUGGAUACCAUGUCUCUAAAGGCACCCGUUUAAUAAUGAACCUUUCAAAGAUCUAAAAGGAUCCAAGAAUUUGGUCAGAUCCAAUAGAAUUCCAACCAGAGAGGUUUCUCAUCACCCAUAAGAAUGUUGAUGAUUGGGGAAAACAUUUUGAAUUUAUUUCAUUUGGAGCUGGUCGAAGAGCAUGUUUAGGAAUUGCUUUUGGUCUUCAAAUAUUAUAUUUAACAUUAGCUAGUUUCUUACAUGCAUUUGACUUUUCAACUCCAUCAAAUGAACAUGUUGACAUGCAAGAGGCCUUAGACUUACAAAUAUGAAAUCUACCUCACUUGAAGUUCUCAUUUCUCCGGACUUAUUUUCUUGUAGUCUUUACAACUAAAACAUUGAAAUGAAGAGGUCAAAGUCGACCUAGCUAGUCUUGGUUUAAAGACAUAUAGAGUUAGAUUCAAUCAAUCUAUGAUAAGAUUUGGGACUGUAUUAAACAUAGGUUGGACUAAAAAUGAUGUACAAUAAACUAAUUAAAGUAUUGUCCAUGCCAAUAAAGUAUAACAUUAUAUAUUAUUUGGUUAGCCUUAAGGAAUGUAGCAUCAUAAUUAUUUCUUUGUUUUGUCUAAUUUAUCACCAUUUUUUCCCCUUCUCUUCUUCCCUUCUCUUCAUUAGAACAAAUAAUAUAUAGUCUUUUUAUUUUUAAAAAUCAAAUUCGAUUCCCAGUUAUAUAAGAAUUUUACUUUUACUUUAUAAUAAACUUUACUUUAAUCUUAAUAACUUUGACCAUGAUCUCCAUCAUUGAUUAAAUAUAGGGAUAAUUUCAAUCAUUUUUUCUAAGAUUGGAGUUAAAUUUACCCAUCCAUUAUUAAUUUGAAAUUUUAUUAAAUAUUUUUUUUUUCCUUUUUUUUUACAUGUAUAUCUUUUAAUUUAAAAUAAUAGUUGUCCGAUAUAUUUAUAUGAAAUUAUUUUCGAAGAGGUGAAUGAAACUAAACUUUUUUUUAAAUAUAAAAUCAUAAAAAUUUAAUAUACGCCAGCACGAUCCGGUCUAAAUAUUAUAUAUAAUUUGUGUCAUUUCAAAAAAUCAUAGAAGAUCCUUUUGGCAAGGUGGCCCCUUUGAGUAGGAAUUCUCUAAUUGGUCACUACAUAUUACAUAAUUUCAAAGAUUAUGGAGGAUCAUUUACCAAUCAUUAUCAGAAGAAGUGCUGAUUCCUGUAUAAAACUAACCAAUACGAUAUUUAGCACAUGCAAACAGAUUUGGAAGGAUCUGAAAGUCAAGCCUACGGGCCAUCCCUUUACGGCUUGUUCGAAAAAGCACAAAUUGAUGGGGUGCCACUUGCCAGCAGUCUGUUUCAAUAUCUAAAUGUUACCCAGUGGGAUUGCUUGAUAUACUUUUUGUCUCCUAGCUACCAUCUAUUAUUAUGGAGCUCCAGAGCUGGUAAGAUAAGAAUACACCCAAAAGCUGCUGGUGCAUGGCCAAUAAUCGGUCACCUCCUCUUAGGGUCACAACUUCCUGGGAUUUUUUUUUAUAAAAUUACGGUAAAUUUAAAAUUAAUUUUUUAAAAUGCGGCAUAUUGAAAAUAUGCUUGAAUAAUAAUAAUAAAAUGACAAAUAAUAAAAAGGAAAGAAAGUUGUCUUGUGGCUAUAAGAAAGAAUAAUAUAAAAGAGAGAGAUGAGGAGAGGCGGAUAGAGAGAAGAGUAGGCCGAAAAAAAAAAAAAAAAAGAGGAGAACGGGGAGGUGCUGCAAAUCUUUGGGCGUUCGAUCGUAUGACGAGCAAAACGACUUAUGUUUUGCAUGAAAGUUAAGGAGAAAAUUUUCUUUGAGGCGAGGAACAUUCCUUCAAAGUUCGAUUUUAGUUUCAAUGAUUGGAUUUUUUUAUUUGUGGUAAGAUAGUUUAAUCCUACAACUUUUGUUUAAUAUUUUGUUCUUGAAAAAAUAUUAUGAAUUUUUUUAGUGGAAGAUAAAUAUGUGUUAUUUGUGUUUUCUUUAUGUUAUUUGAAGUAUGAUUAUUCUUAAGGUUAUUAUUAUUAUUAUUGUUUUAUGAUUUACAUAUUAUUAUGAUUUUAUUUUUAAAAUUUUUAUGUUUGCAAUGAUUUAAUUGAAGAAAAACUGUUGUGUUGAUUGUUGAAAAUUAUUUAGUAUGUUGGGAAUAAAUAAAAUUUAUAUGAUUAGGGUUGAGACUAUGUUUUGAUGAUAUGUAAAUUAUUGUGAAUAUAUAUAUAUUUUAUAUUUGUAGUGAUUUAAUUGAAGAAAAAUUGUUGUGUUGUAAUUGGAAUUAUUGAUCAUGUUUGGAGUAAAUAAAAAUUAUGUCCUAGAAAAUUAUGCAUAAUAACAUGCAAGUUUAUUAUAUUUCAUAUGCAUCAUGGUUAUGUGAAAAAAAAAAUUGAUGAAAGAUUUUAUAAAAUGAAAAAGGAAAAAGAAAAUAAUGAUGAAAAGUAAAAACCUGUGAAAGAUAAAUCAAGAAGGAAAUGAGAUUUCUAGUGUAAAAAAUACAAAAAUUUAUCCCGUGAGUGUAUUUGAUAUAGAUGCAUAUCAUUAAGUGAAAACCCAAAAACAAUAGUUGAAUGUAAGCAUUUGCACCAUGUUUUCAUUUGGAAGAAGGACAUGUAUUAAAUACUUGAAUGACAUCAAUGGUAUGUUUAAAUAUAUUAUUAGAGAUUGAAAUAAUUUAUUUAUUUUGUAAGUUUAGAAUUAUUGGAUAAACCGCUAUUGACGAUUGGACCGAUGAAUGGGGCGGUUUUUCAUGAACUGCAUGGCUAAAUUCCAGCUCCAGUCUUCCUCCCAUUUUUCCUUUCAUCCAAAUAGUCCAACCUCCCCCUCCUCUUUUUCAUAGGGUCCAAGUGAAAGCCCAAUAAGCCCAGCCUUACAUUUUAAUGGCUUUUUGGCAAAACCUAAACCCAUUUAAACCCAUGGGUGGUACCUUUUUGGCAUGUACUAAUUUGAGUUAUAUGAAUUUUUGUAAUUUAAAUUAUAAUUUGUUAUUUUGUAAAAUAUUUUUUACUUAGAUUUAUGUAGAUAUUUGGGUUAAUUUGGGAUUAUAUAUUGAUCUAUUCAACUGAAAUCAUUGACCGUCAAAUUGGAUAGGAAUAACAUUUAAGGUCAACCCUUUGACCUGAUAUCACUAAUCGGAUUCUGAGUUGCCUUGAAUAGGGUGUGACUAUAAUGGAUUUUCUUCUCCAAUGCCUAAACCCUGUCAUGGUUGGAGCGUUUGCAAUACUCGUCCUCUCAUACCACCUGUUAUUAUGGAGGACUGGAGCUGGUAAGAGCAGAAUGGCACCUGAAGCUUCUGGUGCAUGGCCCAUAAUAGGUCACCUGCACCUGUUAGGUGGAUCUAAGAAUUUGCCUCACUUACUUUUUGGAACCAUGGCCGACAAGUAUGGACCAGUAUUCAGCAUCCGGCUGGGAUUAAAAAGAGCUGUGGUGGUGAAUAGUUGGGAGAUGGCCAAGGAAUGCUUCACCACCCAUGACCUGGCUCUGGCCUCCCGUCCUGAGGUUGAGGCCGCCAAAUAUUUGGGAUAUAACUAUGCCAUGUUUGCUUUCUCUCCUCACGGUGCAUACUGGCGUGAAGUGCGUAAGAUAGCUACUCUAGAGCUACUCUCGAAUCGCCGGCUAGAAUUGCUGAAGAAUGUCCGAAUCUCAGAGGUGGAGACAUGCAUGAAGGAACUAUACAAGCUUUGGGCAGAGAAGAAAAACGAAGCGGGCGUUGUUUUGGUGGACAUGAAGGAAUGGUUUGGGCACUUGACUCUGAACGUGAUUCUUAUGAUGGUUGCUGGAAAACGAUAUUUCGGUUAUACAGGCGAAAGUAAAGAGAAAGAGGCCCAGCAGUGCCGGAAAGCGAUUAGGGAAUUCUUUCGUUUGUGGGGACUCUUUGUGGUGUCAGAUGCCAUUCCUUUUUUUGGAUGGCUUGACGUGGGUGGACAUCUGAAAGCCAUGAAGAAGACUGCAAAAGAACUGGACGGUAUUGCUCAGGAAUGGUUAGAGGAACACCGGCAGCGAAAAGAUUCUGGUGAAGCUGAUGGUAACCAGGACUUCAUGGACGUGACGCUGUCCAUUCUGGGUGGUAGAGACAUUACUGAUUAUGAUGCUGAUACCAUCAACAAAGCUACAGCCCUGGUAUGCACAUUAUUCCUUUAGCAUCUUUAUAUGGUAGUAAAAAAUGAGACAUAAUUUCAUGCUUUAUCAUCUUUAGUCCAGACUCAAGAGUACUUGGGCCUGGGUUGGAAGAACUUAUUUUUGCUUUGUUUCAAGUCGAAACUAAUCAAAAGCAGCGAUUUUUAAAAGGUAAUUAUAAUAAUGGUAUUAUAAAAGUUCAAACAUAAAAUAACUUUUUGCAUAAAUCAAAAUAGAAUUUUUAUAUAUACAUAUAAAAUGUUUUUCUGAUCUUCAUAUUAAUUUUUUUAAGUCAUAACUUUUUUGAACAAAAUUAGUCAAACCAUAGAACUCUUGAACUUACAAAAAAGGGCUUUCGAUUUCUUAGAAGUAGAUACAUGUAGAUUAUGAAAGUAUGUUCCUUAGUCCGCAUGGUUUGAGGCCUCUUUGAGUGGGCUUCUAGAGUCGGUUAGACAAUUGGGCCUUUCAAAGGAUUUCCUAAAUUUACAUUUUUUUUAGCCCAACUUGAAUUUUUAUAAAAUGCUAUAUUUAUACGCGAGUUUCAUAUUCAAGCUAAACAUACCCAUUUUGAUUGGAAAAAAAAGGAAAGAAAAUGGGGCCUUUUUUCCACCCUUAAUCCUAUCACUACUUUUAAUUUUAUUUUAUUAGUUAAUGGUUUGUAUUUCACAGAUUCUGAUUGGAGGAGGCACUGACACUACAUCUGCUACUUUAACAUGGGUCAUCUCACUUUUAUUAAACAAUCCAGAUGUAUUAAGAAAAGCCCAAGAAGAAUUGGAUGCUCAUGUUGGUAAAGAAAGACUAGUAAAUGAAAUGGAUAUAAGCAAGUUGGUCUACCUUCAAGCAAUUGUUAAAGAGACAUUGAGGAUAAAUCCAACAGCUCCACUUUCAGGACCGCGUCAAUUCAUCCAAGAUUCUAUUUUAGGGGGUUACCAUAUCUCAAAAGGCACUCGUCUUAUAUUGAACCUUACCAAGAUCCAAAGAGACCCAAGAGUAUGGUUGAAUCCAAUGGAGUUCCAACCAGAUAGAUUCCUCACCACCCAUAAAGAUGUUGAUGUUAGAGGUAAACAAUUUGAGUUGACACCAUUUGGAGGUGGAAGAAGAAUUUGCCCUGG
rnacentral:lncRNA from 1 species